rnacentral:lncRNA from 1 species
GCCAUGUUCUCCAUGUUUGCCUUCUUCAUCCAGGCGUACGUCACCGGCGAAGGCCCCGUCGAGAACCUCGCCAAGCACCUCAGCGACCCCUUCGGCAACAACCUGCUCACCGUCAUCUCCGGCGCCGCCGAGAGGACGCCCAGCCUGUGAGCGCUGCUGCUGCUGCGUUUGGUUUUACCGGGAAACAAAGUGUGCGUGAGGGUCUGAAGAAUGUGCCAUGCGUGUAAAUUAUCAAGAUGGGGAAGAAACCAUUUUGUUCUGAUCUCUGAUAUGACUGAUGCUUGAACUUGCUUGUGCCGGAGAUAUGCUAUUUAAGUAAUUGAUCGCUCGUUUAAGGUUCCAAAUUGAACUCUUGAAAUCCCCACACUGUGAAGGAGACGUUCUUCGUAUUUGAUGAAUCCUUUUUUUUCUUUUUGACAUACUGUCAAUUUUAUAUGUUUUAAAAUCUAUAGCAAAUAUGUCCAUACGUUGGUUUGUAAACCAUAUAAAUAUAUUGAUUAGCAUAUAAAAAUAUAUAUAUUAUACACCAUAUAUAUAUUUUAUAAUAAUAUAGUACGUGUCGGUUGAGGACUUCAGUAGUAUUUUUCUAUUUUAUUCAUCAAAUGCUAAUUCUAAAUAGUUUUUUGGAUCUUUAACUCAACAUACGGUCACUCGGAUUAUGAGGAUUCCAAUUAGUACUCCGAUUGACAGAUAAGAAAUCAUUGCUUGCUUUAGUAAAAAUAGAGAACGAGAUAGAGAUGGAGAUUUUGGUGUCUUAAACUUAGGUCUCGUCCUCGGAACAUAUGAACAUUUAUCUGCAACUCUCGCAUUUUUGUUGGAAUUAGUUGCACCAUGAAAAAGUUUAAAAUAAGACCCAGCAUAGAUGUAACUACUAACAUUUGGAUAAUUCCCUUAGAAUCCACUUAUAUAAUGACAUCCAUUCUCCCUAGGUAUGCUUGCAAAUAAGGAAGCGACUAUAUUGGGCCUGUAAUUUCACUAAUACCACAUGGGAAACCUUUUUUUAAGAAAUAGUCCUUUUUGUCACUUUAAAGUGCUUGAUGUGCAACUCAAGAGGCCCAGUCACGCCAAGAAUUUGGCAUGGCAAAAAGGGCUCUUUUCUACAAAGUGAACCCUCACUACUAUUAUCGUGUUUGAGAAAGUAUUUUUUUCACAUGAUUGGGCCAGGUUCUUUUAGCUAAUUUAGGCCUUGGAUAAAAAAAACAAAGAGAGCGAGCUCAAUUCAACUUGUGCGUAUGGGCCGACUACAUAGUUGGGCCUAUGUGAUAAGGCUGCAGCCUGCAGGUGAACGAAGCAGAUGAAAUGGAAAAGAAAAGAGGAUAAAAUAGUGAUAAGGCUGUAACUACAGACUAGGUGUAGACGCGAAAACGUGUCAUACUAAAUACCCAGCACUGAAAACGUGCAGCCGGCAGAGGCGCGUCUUGCAACACCGAUACGUGCACCGGUCAAAAUAGGUGUGGCAGGCCAGUUGGACGAUCUCAUCGGGAGGCCGACGAAGAUCCAAUGAAUACCUGCUCGGAAGGGACCUAGCAGAGCAAGCGCACGUUGGGUUGUUCUUAGGUCGGCAGGCAACCUAGUUGUCGAGAUGAGAGGAGAAUAACAAGUAUGGGAUUGGAAAAGUUAGGAUUUAAAAAAGAUAAAAAGAUUAAUAGAUAUAUUGAUAUGUUUUGAUCGAUUGGAUGCCUUUAGCUAUGGCGCUUUAUAUUUAUAAGUCGAAACCAUAACAAAUUCCGUGUCAAAAUACAAGUCCUAACUCAGAUUGGACCGUCUAAACCGGUGUGACCGGUUCGAUCGAGGUAAGAUUUAAGUCAUAACUCUCUCAUCCGAACUCUAGAUUGAAUGUUCUAUAUAUGCAAUCGAUCGUCUCAACGAAAGCUAUGCAACAGUGAGGUCAAAUUUGCAUUUUUAACAAAAGUCACCCAAACUCGCCGGACCGGUUUGUGCAGACCGGUGUGCCGGACCGGUUUGUGCAUACCGGUGUGCACAGUUGUACCAAUUUUGAUCGUCAACACGGACAUCAUUUACCGGUGAUCCAACGAGUUGCCAACACGAAUUGAACCAUAAGGGGAAGAAAAGGAAAAUCCUAACCAUUACUCAAGUGUUUUUCUAUAUCUCAUCAUUAAAAAAAGAAUCAUUUUGUGUGCUUAUUAUACUGCUACUCGAUUCAGCUGCGCACCUGUACUCGGCGAUGACAACGCGCAUGGAUGAAUUUGCAGGUAAUACGGAAUAGGAGGUGUAACAGGAGGAUCCUGCGCGCCGUAGCCUGCUCGAUCAACGAGCGUUCAGUGUUGGUUCAGCCACUGCUUCUCCUCUGUAGAUGGGCACCCCGUGAUCAUCUCACUGCUGCGGUACUCUGCUGUACACGUACGGCGUGCACAUUUCCUUAGCUUGUACACAGAUUGGUACGACGUCAUUGUCAAAUUUCAUUUACUUCCUCAUAGUAUUUUUCAUUUACUUUACAUUUGUCGUGCCCAGUGUUGCUGCUUGGACGACAUUAUUUGUAUCUCAGGUUUCGCCUUUAAUUUUGAGGGCAGGCAGCCUGUAAAUUAUCAUGUCCGUCGUCAUCAUCUCUGCGGACCGUCGUUCUUCAUGAACGGACUGUUUUCAUAUGUUAAAUUGCACCGGUAGUACAGCAUUUGGACCUCUGUUUACAUGUUUGAUCAAAACAAGGUCACCCAUAAGUCAUAUACUCAUCGUAUUUUCCGUAUGAGUUUUUCUUAAUAAUAAGUUCCUUUCUUGUGCUUCCUAGCUACCAGCUGUAUACUGCUCAGCAUAUUUAAACGGCUAGAAACCGUUGCUUUGGAUAUUUUCACCAAGAACAGAUGGGACAACAAUAAUAGAAUCUGCUUAUGAAUUUUUGUCUCUUCAUGCUCCCGUAUUUUCACUAUUAGCAAUUGAUCUGAAAACUAUGUAAUAAUUUGGCCGUAUGCGGUUGCAGAGGCUGGGAUGUUUUUCAUUUUCUAAAAAAUCACCUCUCCCUAUUUCAUUUGUCCUGCCUUGCCAUGUCGUCUUACCUGGAUUUGCAUUGAACUGAUGCCUGGAACCCGUUGUUGCUGGUUUAAAGAUUUUUUGCAUAUACUUCUGAAAAUAUUGUAAAUGCAUGCACUAUGAACCUCAUUGAUGAAGCAUGACCCUUCGGUCAUAUAGCAUGUCUAUAGCAACAAAGAGGCACCGUAUUCAUAUAUCCUAUGAAUUUAUGGGCGCAUCUAGAAAAUUUUGCAUCACUACCAUAACAUAAAGGCACGAAAAUUUGCUCCAUUUUUUGGCCAUAAUGUGUACAAUUAUGAGCUAGUGACUACUGAACACAAACUUUUGAAUUGAAAAAAAAACACAAAACUCGCGCAUAUUCAGUGACCCGAGAGUCGCGAUUUGUGAAAUCAUGGUGAACAGGUACAUACUCUGCCACAUCAAAGUGCUGUGCCAACUGCGACCCAACACAGUCCGUGGGGUAGCAAUAACAUUUUUAGACCGUUUUAAUGUGAUCUAGCUGUACGCUUGUACGUGACAAAGUUUGAAAAAUGAGCGAAUGAAUGUGCUGAUGCUAUCUAGGACAGCCUACAAAAAAGAGUACGUGCGUGCUGAGUGGCCAGACACCAUGCCUUAGAGCUGUCCUUCCUUGAACUGCUGGUUUGCUCAGCUGGGAUUUCUGGUUGCUUAUCAUUUACAGUUAGAAACACACCCGUAAUCUCGCUAUGGGUGUGUACUAGUGCUGUAUAAUUUUAUAUUGCAGAAGUAUCAGCAGUUGUUCAUCUUAUUAGACGAUGUUUGGUCCAAGGACAAUAGGGUAAGAAGCCACCCUGGACCGCUGUAAUUUUUAUCAUACUGUCCUCAACUCAUAAGCUAGAUUAUACUCCAUCCCUUCCAAAUUAUUAAUCGUUUUGGUUUUUGUAGAUGCAUAGUUUUUGCUAUGCAUCUAGAUAUACAUUAUAUCUAGAUGUAUAGCAAAAUCUAUGUAUCUAGAAAAAAAAUAAAACGACUAAUGAUUUUGAACGGAAGGGAAUACAAUUAAUCUAGGUGGGAAAUAAACAGGACCUUAGUCAAAUAUGUAUGGCUUGAGAUUGUAUAUGCAUUGGCCAACGUAUGGUAACAAUGUCACGAUCUACAAUGUAGUUUAUUUAUGGAUCAUUGAGCGAGCGUAGCUUCUGGUAGGUUCAAUUGUGCUUUCUCAAUAAACUACUAUAGUUUAUUGGUUUCUGUUAGUUUACAUUUUAUCCUGUUCUCAAAUGCCCCAUGCAAUUCCAUGGGCUAUCUAUGAAAGAGGCUCCUAAUUCAAAACAACAAAUUAGGAAACCCAUCUCAGCAACAUGUCAUGCAUUUACAAUCAAAUUCAAUGAUGUUUGCUUAAGUUCCUUUCGUUGUGCUAGCUAUCUGCAUAUAUACUCUGACCCUCCCCUUGGGGCAUGUCCACUACUAGAAAAAUGAGCUAGAAAAAUGAGCUUUCGUCGCGCACGUUAAUACCAGUUAACUUUUGCUCUGGUGUUAAAGUUAUCACGGAGCCAUUUUAGUACCGGAUCCAAAUUUGAAAGCACCCGGAGCCAUUUUAGUACCGGAUCAUAAUAACACCCGGUACUAACCUUUUUAGUACCGGUCGGUGUCUUGACCCGGUACUAUAAUGGUCGAGCUAGUACCAGUAAAUGACAUUUAGUACCGGGUGGUGUAAUUGACUGGUAUUAAAUGGUCCUCCACGGGUUACUUUAAAAGGAAAGCAUCUCCCGCUUAGUGACAUGUGAUGUGUAGGUAGGAUGGUAAGGAAGUUACACGUGAGGCCGAAGGUUACGGGUUCGAAUCCUCCACAACUAGAAAAAUAACCUUUCAUCGCACAAGAUUAGUAUCGGUCAUUCUUUACCCGGUUCUAAAGAUGCCAUGGAACUAUUUUAGUACUGAGUCCGAAUUUAAAAAUCUCCGAAGCUAUUUUAGUACUGGGCCAAAAUAGCAACCGAUACUAAAUGUCACCUUUUAGUACCGGGUGGUGUUUUGAUUCGGUACUAAAUGGUCCUCCAUGGAUUACUUUAAAAGGAAAGCAUCUCCCACUUAGUGGCAUGUGAUGUGCAGGUAGAAUGGUAAGGAAGGUACGCGCGAGGCUGAACAUUAUAGGUUCGAAUCUUCGCGGCUGCGCACGCGUGAAAGAUUCGCGUGACUUGUGACUAAUGCUAAGUUUUCUAGCAGUGGUCAUAAGUUAAUCAAGUCAUGGAUAUCAACAGUAGCAGGAGGUACAACAGUGGCUUGACGAUCUCGCUAGGUAGCUUGUCGUGCAUUACAGCUUGUUUGCCAUGCAUGAAUGAUGCAUUUAUAAUUUUGCAAUACAGAAGCAUCAUAAGCGAAUCUUCAUCUAGACAGUACUUUUUCUUUUUAAAAAAUCAAGAAUUAUUUCAAUGGAAAAUCGAAAUUGAGAGGGCUCCUGAUUUAGCACUACCGUGAGAGUCAUAAUUAGUUAAUUGGUUUAUUAACUGAUUUAUCGAUAAAGUAUAGGUUUAUCCCUCAUGUUGACAGACAGGGAUGGGAAGGGGAACCUGAAUUCUUGUACAAAUGUUGGAGGGUCGGAGGAGGUCUCCAGUUACAGUUAACUGGAGGUCAUAUAUAGUUGCCUCCUUAUUUGAAUCAUGAUACCCGACUAUGUGUAGCCGUCUAGGUAUCUACUAAUAUGGAUAAACCUACUUUAUCAAUACUCACAUAAGCGAUCACGUACGUAGUUUACAACUUUCACUAUUUUGUAGAAUAGCUUCUUUAAUUUAAGAAAUUCUUAAUUUCAUCACCAUUAAAUUUGCAUUAUAUUACUAGCUUCAUUAACGCAUUACAUCUUAGGGGCUAGGAUUAUUGCAAAUUAAGAAGUCUUCGAUGCAUAAAUUCAAAAUAGCAACGAGGGGAUCAUGCCGCACCGCUUUAGAAAUGAAUAUCAUGGAUGGGGCACAGCGGCGGAUCUAGAAUUUUAGUAAAGGGUAUGCCGCGACAUUUUUUUCAUAUACAAUUUGAUAUAAUCCAUAUAGAAACGGUAUACUCUAUAAAAAAUAUCAAAAUCUGCCAAAAAAAUUUGGUAUACAUGAGUAUAAAUAAUAUGUGAAGUACUAAAUUCAACAAUUAAGAGCUAUAAAAUAUGUAAAUCUAAAAUAUGCAUAAAAGAAGCUUACACAUCUAAAAUAGUUCAAAGAUGAUUCAUCUUCAUAAAAGUCUUAGUUAUAUCACCUUUAUCACUUUGAUGAAAAUGUCAUAUUUAACUAGUAUGAUUAAACAAAUCAUCUAACCAAACUAUCACCUAACUUAUUUUUUAACCUAAAGUCUUUGCAAGAACAGACAACUGGUACAUGCACGAAAGAGGCAAUCAGGCACAGAGCACUGAGUCAAAAAUUAGACACGAUCACACGAACCAGUGUUAGCAAUUUGCCUUGGAGACUCGAGCAGUGCACUGGUUCACUGGAGCCCUACCCCUUAUCCCUGGACGAGCGGACGGAUGCUGUGGGGCAGGCAGGGGAUGAGAGGCUGCAAGCGGCCGGUGUCCAGCGCGAUCGUGUCGUGCUUUGUGCCCUCUCCAGAAGAAGCGGAAGCGGAAGUUUUUUUUAACAUAGGCAUCUACUCGGAUCUACUCGGCCACAGGAUACGCCACGGCCUAGGUGGCAUACCCUGUGGCUCUGCCCUUAAAUUGGGAUAUUACUGUCUACCAUAAAUAUAACCAUAAAUAUAACGCAAGUAUGGCUAUCCUUCCGUCCGUUAAAUAAAGCCCUAAAAUAUCACUUCUUGUAGAAAGCAUCAUCUAAUGAAUCAAAGCAUUCGAAGUGAGCAAUUAAGAUUACGGAGGCUUUAUCAAUAUAUCGGUUUUUACCACAUAUAUAUGUGUAAGACUUAAUUAAUAUUGGGGCUCACGAAAGGAUUUGUCCAAUGCAAUCCGUAAAAGUAUGAUACGUUAAUUUUGAUGGAAAUAAUUAACCUACGCUUGUGCAAAGAUUUCCCGCCAUACGCACCUGUCGGAGGAAUUCUCCAGCCGGGUGGCGGAAAGCACCCGCCUAAUCCUAGUUAAGGAUGGGUUUGGAGGAGACUUAGGAGCACUCGAUCGGUGGACAGAUGGUCGCAGGAAGGACACGAUGAUUUAGAGUGGUUCGGGCCGCCGGAGCGUAAUACCCUACGUCCACUUUGGUGUUAGUAUUGGCAGCGUAAGCCUGAAUGAAAAACGGCCUAGCUUGUGUGUGUGCUACCUGAAAUCUGUCUUCUAACGAGUGCACUCUCCCUUUUAUAGUUCAAGGGGAGUGCUUACACUGUGCGGGGCCCCGACAGGUGGGCCCGGCCAACAGGGGCCGUUCUACGAGAGAUAAGGAGGUCUUCUCCUCGAGCUCCUCUCCGUAGUCCUCUCAAUCGAGAAGUUGAUGUGCGUAUCUACAGCCAGGAUAUGGCCGCGUACAGCCUUGUCUUGUACAGUGCUUGGUGUCAGCGUUGCCCAACAGUGAAGCCGUGCUGUCACUGUUGGGAUGGGACCUCCUGUCAGGGGGCGAGCUGGCGCUGGCUCGUGCCAUGCGCACUGUUACAGCGCAAGCCUUAGCACGCCUAUUACAGACCAUCAUCACACGCGCAGCGCCGUGACGGGACUGCACACAGUCCGCGCACUGUGCGCGGUGAUACGACGCGCCGCCUUCAGAUCAGGCGGGCUUUCCGUGGUGUCAGCCUACCUGCCCCGUGUGUCAGUGGCAGGCCGCGCCUUUUGACUUUGGCGCACCCGACCCAGCCACCGCAUUAAAUGCUGGUAGGUGGAGAGGCGACCCGCAAGGGGCCUCCGGCCGCAGGCACGCGGCGGGGCCGGCCCCGCUCCUCCCGCUGGGCUGCACAUGGCGGCACCGGACCCCCUCCCGGGGGAAGGGGGCUCCGGGCCCCCGAGACCGGUCAGAGCGGGCUGGCCUGUGAUGGUCCGGCCAUCACACGUGGCGGCCCCGGGCCUCCCAGGGGAGACCGGGUCCGCGGGGCUACUCGAGAGCUCUCCCACCCGUCUGGGUGUGCAGAGGCCCCGGACCUCAUGGAGCUUGGGGAGGGUCCGGAGACCGUGGUCCCAGCUGUCAGGCCCGGAGGCCGUAUGCCACGUGGCCCAGAGGCGAGGGGGAGCGUGGAUUAUGAGAAGUACCAGGGCCUGGACACCCUAGCAGGAGGUACCCCUAUCUGUAUGUACCGACAGAGGCCCCCGGGCCCACCUCGGGAGAGGGAUGAACCCGCAGGUGGGGCCAAAUCCCAGCAUCGCGCCGGGUGUACAGCUCGUUCCCGCCAGACGAGGGCACAGAUGUCCUUUCGCCCGUAGCGGGAUCCCCGAGGGACCCGUCUUCCGCGCGCACCGUGCGCGUCAGACGGUUCAGAUUCUUGUCUCAUUCGAGCCCGCCGCGCGGCUCGGGCGGUUCGGAUUCCGCCCUUCCCACGAUCCUCCAGCGCCCACGCCAAUGACUGGUGGACCCGAGCCCACCGGUCAUUGAGUGUGAGGGUAGGGGAAGGCGGCGCUGGCGACCGCUCAGCUUCCCCUCGGUCACCGCGGGACACAAAGGGAGGAGCAGUCUUUUGCAUAAAAGGUAUGCGCCGAAGGGAACGGCUACCUUUUCGCUCUCGCCAACAACCGACGCCGUAGCGCCCCUUCGUCUCCGCAUCCUUUCUCGCGAUCAGCUUUCUUGCGCCCGGCACCUCUCUCUACCUUGCUCCUUCGCGAUCCACCCCAACAAUUUCCAUGGCUUCACUUCCUUUCCCGCGCCGCUUCCAGACCCAGGAUCAGCUGGACGCGGUGCGGCGCCUUCUAGGGUGGACCGCGCCGGCGAAUGUCGGGAAGGUCAAGGCCGGCGAGGUCCCCCUCCGCGAGCUUGCCGCGGGGGAGUUCGUCCUCUUCAACUCGUACAUUAUGUGCGGGUUGGUUCCUCCGAUCUCCUCCUUCUUCCUCCUGCUCCUGGAGGAGUUCGGCCUCCAACUUCAUCAUCUCACCCCCCACUACGUUCUCCUCGCGGCGGUCUUCGCCCAUUUCAUGGAGAUGUUCGUGGGGGUGCGCCCCUGCACCACCAUCUUCAAGCACUUCUACUCCCUGGUCGGGACCGGGAAGAAGCGCGGCGAGAUCGGCGCUUACUACUUCCAACUCCGGCACGGGAUGUCGGGCGCCUACAUCGCCGCCUUCUCCAGCUCCAAGUGGGAGGACUGGCGUGAAGGCUGGGUCAUUGCGGUGACGGACCCCCACGACCGCCUAGAAUGCCGGAAGGGGGCCCCCAGAGCGACCGGAGCACCUGGAAGGCCAGGCCGUCAAUUCCGGCAGAGCUCGACCCAGUCCUGAACCGGAUCAAGAAGCUGGCAAGGAGCGGCCUGACUUCUAUGAUGGUGCUGGGCGACUUCCUGAAGCGACGAAUCGCCCCCCUGCAGCAUCGGUCCCGGAUGGCCUACGUGUACACGGGGCUAAACGACUGCUGCAGGAUCGCGCGGGGGCCCGGCGGCGACUUCACCCGGGCGGAGCUGGAGGCGGCGAUCCGGGCAAUGACCGGCGAGGCGUUCGUACCAGAAUCCCUGGUCCUCCCGAGCGGGGUGAAGGCCCUGUGCGAGGACCAGGCUCUGCGGUCAACGGUCCUGGCGUCGAUGCCGACCCUGGACGAGGGCGGCCUGGCGGUCCGGCAACUGGGGGGCGACCCGAACCGCGGGCUUCAGAUCCCUGGCGCCGCACCGGACCGCCAGCAACGCCCCAGCGGAGGCGCCGGGGAGCCGGGACCCAGAGGUCCGGCCCCCGGCGGGAAGGGAAAAGAGAAAGCGCCGGUGCCAGAGCACCGGCAGAAAGACAGUGCGGGUGCUGCCCCGGCCCAAAGGAGCGGCGAAGCUCAGGGGGCGGCACCCGAGCGGCACAGCCAAGCCGAAGGGAGCAAGUCCCGGAGGCUCCAGCGAGGCGACGGCUCCUUGGUGGGGGAGCCGGCGCCCAAGCGCCAGAAGACAACGGGGGUGGAGAAGCAGAGCGGAGCUGCACCACCUCCACCACAGAACCGGCCCCCACCGGGACAACAGACUCCUCCGCCACCACCACCAGGGCCGCGGCCAGCGACUCCACCGCCUCCGUCCGAGACCAGACCGACGUCCCCAACACCGUCACCAGGAGGCUCAAAGGUCGGGGACGGCCCCCAGAGGUCCGGGGGGUCCUCGGCAGGGAGGAAAGUCCCCCCGGCCGCCUGGGGCAGAUGGGAGUGGUUCGACUUCCCGUAAGUGGUUUUAUCAAGGUUUUUUAUUUUCUUCCUCAGCUUCUGGUGCUUAACCAAACAGGUGGUUUGUGACGCCCUGAAAACUUACCAAAUUAAACCACGCGCUAAAAUGUUCGUCGUCAAACCCUAACUCUAACCCUUGACGACCGACAGCGGAUUUGACCGCCGUCCCAAUCCCGCACCACUCACACAAGACCGCUUUCCGCGAAUAGCGCUGGCGCGACUCUUUUCCUCGCGCAGCGCGCGAACGCCGAGCACGCGUGGCCGACCCGCACGCGAUCACCCGCCGCGUUCUGCGCCGGCGCUCCUCGUGCCGCGCGCGAAUCCCCGCGCGCGCGUGGCCGACCGGCCGCGGUCGCCGCCGCGCGCGAAUCCCCGCGCGCGCGUGGCCGACCGGCCGCGGUCGCCGCCGCGACCGGCGCCGGCACGCCUUCCCCUCUUUCUCUUUUCUUUUCUUUUCCAAUCUCUCUCUCUUUCUUUCCUUCCUUUCCUUUCCUCCCUUUUUCCUUUUUCCUCCCUUCUUCCUUUUCCCUUCUCUCCUCUCCUCUCCCCUCCUUCCCCUGCCUCUGCUCCCGAGCACCCCCACGCCGCGCGCCACCGUGCCGCGCACGCGCUCGCCCCCGCGUGCCCGUGCACCCCUGCCGCACCGCGCCAGCCCCUGCCCGGCCGCGCCGUGACGCACAGCCGCGCCGCGCCACGCCCCCUGACCUGCGCACGCCACCCGCGCCCGCGCGCGCGUGUACCGCGUGCCGCGCCGCCCGCCGUGCGACGCGUCGCCUGCGCGCGCCCUGUUUCCCCCGCGUGGCGCGCCGCCCGCCGGCCGCACGCCGCCUGCACGCGCACGCCGAGCUGCGACGACGCGCCGCCCGCCGUGCCGUGUCCUGCCCCCGCUGUGCCGCCCCUGUGCCUGCACACCGCCGCUCGACGACACCCGCGACGCGACGCGGCCGCCAUUAAGGCGCUCCGCGCCGCUCGCCGGCCUCCCCACCGGCCCCGUCUCCUCGCCGCCUCAACCCGCCUAUAAGUAGGCCGGCCGCGGCCUCUCACCUCCCCACAAACCACCACCGCCGCCCCAGCUCCCUUUCCACGCCCCCAGCGCCGCCGCCGCCUGCAGCCCGGCCGCCGCCCGCAGCCCGCCGUCGCCGCGCCCCCUCGCACCGCCCCCGCCCGAGGUGAGGCCGGGAAUGGGCCCCCCCCUUCCCCCUCUCCCUUUUCCCCCACACGCCCGAGCCGGUUAGGCCCUAGGGCCGCCGGAUUUGGGGGCCGGCCGUGCCUCCCCAUCCUCCUCUGUUUCACGUGGUGAGGGGGAGGAAGAAGAAGGGCAUUUUGCCCAUAGCCCCCUACCCUUUCUUGUUUUCUCCCAAAAAGAACCCUCCUCGCUUAUUUACUUCCUUUUGCUAAAAAGACCCUGUUCUUCCCGGUAUUUCAAACCAAACCACUCAAAUUACAUAAACCUAUUUAUGACCGACACCCUUUAGCAAUGCCCUGAUUGAUUCCAGGAUUCGCAAAUAAGCCCCUACCCUCUUUAGAUAAUUCUGAACAGGCCCCUGAACCCCCGUUUAAACCCUGGAACCACCUUUAGCGCGUCAUUUUAUGCGCGAAACGACCUCCGAUUGACCCGAAACUUUACCACGCCCUUUCUAGUAUAGUUUUGGCCCUGCCAUUAAGAAACCACCCAGAGAUAUUGCCCCGACCUCCGUAACUAAAUUAUUUCCGAUUCAAGCUCGACGAUAAAAGCUUUUAGUUUUUGUGCUUGAUUGUGUGUUUGUUUGAUUGCGUCGUAGGACACGGAGUGAACGAGGAAGGUCCCGACUGUGACCAAGCGAACGAGGACCAGUUCCGCGACCCCGAGCCCGAGGGACAGUGCUACGACCAGGACUUCUCGCAAGGGUUUGACGAUGGCAAGUUCAAUUCCGCCCUUUGAUGCAUGUUUCUGUCCUAGUUUUCAUAAACACAACCCAGUGGCCUGUUUUAUAAAAUUGCAUGGUUUUGCGUGCUGAAAACAUGGUAGGAUAGCCACCCUUGUUUGAGAUAACCCUACCUUGACCACCUGAUUUUAUAAAGAAAAUGUGUGUGUGUGGGAAGGGAUACAAUGUGGUUUUGAAAGACGAGUUAGACGGGAUGGAUGGCAUUUCUGUGUGAAUUGCCGUUGGUGUGCUCGUACCUGUGUGGUUGAGCGAGGAAGGGAGAUAUCCAUCCUGUCACCCCUAAGGACCGAGUUGAUGUGACAUCUCACCUAGCUUCUUGUCGUGCGAACCACUUGACCGUUGUAUGGGCAACGGCUUAGCAUAAAUCCCACUAGUUAGCCUGAUAGCCAUCAGGAGAGCUGAGAGCAACGGGUGAUCAAGGAGAAGGGAUAAGAUCUGUGUGACUUAUGCCCCGGUUAAACCUCGGAGAUAGGUCGAAUGACCCCUUGAUGGAUCCCGUGGUGGCUAGUCAGGUCUAGCUAAGGUGGGUAAUGGCUUUGUUGGGAUCUGCACCGGCACUAAGGUGUUCGUGCUGUGGUACCCCACCUGUGGGUAAAGUUGCACACCUCUGCAGAGUUAAAAUCUAUUCGAAUAGCCGUGCCCACGGUAUUGGGCAAGUUACGGUGUGGUCACAUAACUAGUGUUUCACUCUGGGAAUGGAUGGGCUGGUGUGAGUUGUUUGGAAGGUGUCCGGCAGUUGUGCCGUGUGCUACGGCGGACGGGGAGUCCGGUAGCAGUUUAAAACUUGGAUCCUGUGUGGAUCAACAUCGUGUGCUCCUUGGUAUUGGAAAACUUGCUUUGAAAAUGUUUUCAAAAUGAACCCUUGCAUAUAACCGAGUUUUCCGCAAAUAAACCCUAACCGUAUUCCUUGGAUUGUCCUUUGCAUUAUUCUCUGUUAUACCCCCUCCGUGGGUGUGAUUGGACUUGCUGAGUACGAUCGUACUCACCCCAUUCCUAUUUUUACAGUGGAAGACCCAGACUACGUCCCCGAAGACAACGAGUAGGGUUUCGUCCUGCACCCAGUCUUGCCUGUGGUUGAGGCCACCGUUGGAUUCCGCAUGGCGCAAGACUCUGAUGAUCCUUUGUUCGUAGCUAGUGUAGUAGUAUGGGUUCUGGUUGUAAUCCUCGCGAUAGUGGCGCUUCACUGCCCAUUACCGCGUAGAGAUGUACGGUGAUGUACCAUCUGAUGUAAUAAAAGUGUUAUCAGCCUCCUGGGACUGAUAAAUCGACACUUUUAAGUCUUCCCUGAUGGGGGGGGGCGCUUCAGGUGGUAUCAGAGCCGUAGACUGGCCGUAGGACGUGACCCUAGGAGCGAAACCCCUUUUUAAACCCUAGGACUUGUUCUGACUUCGAUAUUUUUCUGCACGAACACUCACCACUGGUUUUUACCCUGUUCCAGAUGGCUGACAACGGAUGGGUCAACGGAGUCUGCUACGCAGAGCCUGGCCUUCCUAAGUUAUUGUUGCUCAGCCUGGAACGCGUUGGGGUUGUGGAAACGCCGGAGUACGCCUACCGAGAAUACAUCUCCGGUGGCACCCUUCGGUGCGACACGAUGAUCUUUGUGGAAAGGAGCCCCCGCUACCCUGAAGUAGACCCGUGGUUCAUCUCCACAAAGGGCUUCCGAUUCCCCGACACCUACCGAAAGGCCGCCCGUAAAGCCCUGCGCCGAUUACGUGUGCUCUACAGGCACUACCUUCAGCGGACUCCUAUGGGAUUUUCCCACCCGCUGAAAGAAGUGGACGCACCUGGAUUGCCCGGAUGAGGGGACUUGGACGAGAAGAAGAUCUAGAAGAUGCGGUCUCCCACCUAUCCAUCUACCUUACUGGCUUGGAUGCACUCUGCCGCGAACAGUCGGCACAACUGAAGAAGCUAAUCCAUGGGGUUGAAAAGUUAACCCAGGAGCUGGAGGAACAACGGACAAGAGCCGCAAACGCCGAGUAUUCCUUAGCCGCCCUCCAAGCCCAGAUGCAAGAAUACGAGAGCCGCAACGGGAUAGGUGGAUGGAUCGAAGAAGAAGAAGAAGAACCCAUGGAGACCCAUUGGGACAAGGGUACUCAGACCGAAAAUGAGAUGGAUCGGUUCCUUCCAAUAAAGAAGCGCUCUAUCAGGACUGAGGAAGAAUCCCCAUGAUAGGAUUAGCACCCCUAGCAAAAACCCUACCCUAAUGACCACGUAUCCAUGGAAACUGUACCACCCUUGUUGUAAUAAUAAAUAUCAUCUACCCGCUUUUGCACCUGUACCAUGUUGUUUACCCUACUUCUGUUUCAGAUGGCUGAGGAAGGAUGGACCCAGGGCGAUUGCCAAGCUGCACCUGGAUUCCCCAGCCUCUUGAUCAACACCCUGGAGGACCUUGGCGUUACGGAGCGCCCAAGGUACUACAGCCGAGAGUACGAACACCAUGGUACCCUCCGCUGCAGGGUGAUCCUGGUCAUCGCCAGGAGCAACCGCUACCCCGACAUCCAGCCCUGGCGCGCGACCGCCACAGGGUUUAGGCACCAAGACACCUACCCCUUGGCCAUCAGAAAAGCACUCCGUUACUUGUGCCGGAUUUUCGAAGAGCACCUCGCCCCUACACCAGCGAAGUUCUUUCCGCCGGCCAUCAGAACCCCAGUCUGGGAAGCGCGCAUGAGAAACCUGGAGCGACGUCGCCACGAAGAAGGCCCCCUGUACCAAGUGGCUACAUACCUAGCCGCCCUGGACCAACUCUUUGACGAGCAAGCCAACCUUCUGAGGGAGCAGACUCACCGAGCCGAGCAAGCAGAGCUCGCGGUGAGAAUACAGCAGAUCCGAGCCGCCCAUGCCGAGGCAAGAGCCGCAGCCGCGGUCAGUAGCGAAGCUGUCGCCCAAGAAAGCCUUAGACAGGCCCGAGACCGGCGUAUGCAGGAUUGGACCCAAAGUGGAACACCAGUCCCGGCGAUAGGGGAAGACCAUGUUUUGCUCGGGACACCCGUCAUAGGGUGGGGAUCACUCUUCGGGAGCGCACGAGCCCCACCCGAGAACCCGGAAAGCUCUACUGCCGCCGAUGGAGGGGAUGCUGCAAUGCAACCCCUGACCGAUGGGAACCCAGAAGACGGCGAGCGAGAACCUCUCACCCUGUCCGCCCCGGAAGAAGACGCACCACGCAAGUAGAAUGGUCGACGCCAUCCCAGUGAUGCCCCCGCCUUUCUGUUUAAGACGUGCCCUUUUACAAGACCCUGGCCGAGUAGCACGAGACUUAGUCGUACCCCUAAGUUGUAUCCUCCCUGCUUAAUAAAAUAGUUGGUGCUUGUUGCUUGUGAUGUUGUGUGCUGAUGUGUUGUGUGCUGCUUAAUUAUAUAGAUAUCGGCAGAAGGUAGAUUCUGCCUUAUAUAUAUACGAAUUAAACAACUUAAACAUCACAUAACCAUAACCCCAAUUUACCCAAUCAACAGGUGACUCCCCGGAACAUCGCGAGGGCCUCCCGCGGCCGGAACCCCGUAGCCGCUAGUGUCGGAGCACAACCCGUUGAACAAGAUCUUCCCCAAGGAGAACAAGAAGUAAGCCAGAACCGAGGAGGAAGUCAAGAAGGAGAACAACUACCACCACCCCCACCCCUCGGAGACCUGGCGCAGAUCAUCCAUAACCAGACUCUCAUACUGGAAACCCUGGCGAAUGCCCUCAUUAACCGGCAGCCGCGAGGGCAAAAUAUGAACGACAAGCUGACGGCCUUUCUAAGGACCAAGCCACCAACCUUCGCCGGAUCCUGCAACCCGUUGGAUGCUGACGACUGGUUGCGAGUAAUUCAGAGGAAGCUUGAACCAUUCGAAUGCCAGGACCGGGAUAAAGUCCUUCUGGCAGCCCACCAGCUCACCGGAACGGCCUUAUCCUGGUGGGAGAACUAUUGUGCUGCCGCCGAAGAUGCCUCCACCAUCACCUGGGGAGAAUUUGUAAGGGAGUUCCGCCGCUACCACAUCCCUUCAGCCACUAUGAAGCGCAAGGCGGAUGAAUUCCGCGCACUACAACAAGGGAAUAUGACGGUGGAAGAAUACACCCACCGGUUCAUAGAAUUGGCCCGAUAUGCGCCGGAAGAGGUGAACGACGACGACAAAAAGCAAGACAUGUUCAAGAAGGGGUUAAGCCCGGAGCUCCGGACCUUGCUUACUCCCCAGAUCUAUCCAGACUUCAACACCCUGAUGAACAAGGCCAUCCUCACGGAAAGGGCCAAGGCCGAAGAAAGAAAGGACAACAAACGCAAGUUCUUGGAGAGUAAGGCUCGCCAACAAGACCGUUUCCAGAGGCCGAGAAAUUCCAGCUAUACUGCUCCAGGAACUCAGGCCCCAAUGCAGUAUAGAACUCAGUCCCAGGUGACGGGAUCACAGGCCCCGCCUAGAAGCCAGAAUACCUCGAGGGCCCCGCAGAGCAAUACAAGCCAGGUCACCCCCGACAACAACAAUGUUAGGGCCUGCUUCAACUGUCGCGAAGUAGGGCAUUAUAUUGCCAAUUGCCCUUACGCCAAGAACAAGCCGGCCACAUCAGCCUUCUCCAACUCGGUGAAUGGACCUAGACCAGCCCUGACCGGUGCCAACCGAGUGCCUGUCCGCAACAACGACAACAGCCAGCAGACAAAGCAGUCCCAGCAAUCCUUUGGUCGAGCCCGCGUCAAUCACAUCGACGCGCAGGAGGCUCAAGAAGCUCAGGGGGUAGUGCUCGGUGAGUACCUAGUCAACUCAGCUCUGGCAACAAUACUAUUUGAUUCUGGAGCAUCGCACUCAUUCAUAUCCUCGAGCUUUGUGGAAAAACACAAAAUACCCACGGUACUACUAAAAACACCCCUAUUAACCCGGACGCCUGGAGGCGACAUCAAUUGUCGAUUAGGCUGUCCAUGGGUAAGGAUCAAUUUAAGUGGGGUAGAAUUUCUAGCAGAUUUGGUAGUACUUAAGUCUGGGGGAAUAGACGUAAUCCUUGGAAUGGAUUGGUUAAGCCGACACAAUGGUCUCAUAGGAUGCACCGACAAAGUGGUACACCUAACAAACCCCGAAGGAAUACAAGUGAUCUGUCAUACCCGGGAUAGCAAGUUUGACCCAAUGGUGUUUAGCAUGGAAGCCAAGCCCUUAGAAGGAGUCCCGGUAGUAAACGAAUACCCAGACGUAUUCCCCGAAGAGCUUCCCGGUAUGCCACCAAAUAGGGAUAUAGAGUUCGUCAUUGACCUUAUCCCUGGAACCUCCCCUAUAGCCAAAAGACCCUAUAGGAUGGCGGCAUCCGAGUUGACAGAAUUAAAGAAACAACUAGAAGAGCUGCAACGAAUUGGUUUCAUCAGACCAAGCUCGUCACCAUGGGGAGCCCCAGUCCUAUUCGUCAAGAAGAAAGAUGGGAGUAUGAGGAUGUGUGUAGACUACCGGGCACUGAAUGAGGUCACCAUCAAGAAUAAGUACCCCCUUCCCAGGAUUGAUGACCUGUUCGAUCAGCUAAAAGGAGCCAAGUAUUUUUCCAAGAUCGACCUAAGGUCGGGAUAUUUCCAGCUCAAAAUUAGAGAAAGUGACAUCCCUAAGACAGCUUUUGUCACCCGUUACGGACAGUUUGAGUUCACCGUAAUGUCCUUCGGACUAACCAAUGCCCCUGCCUAUUUUAUGAACCUCAUGAACAAGGUAUUUAUGGAUGAGCUAGAUAAGUUUGUCGUAGUCUUUAUCGACGACAUACUUAUCUACUCCAAGAGUAUUCAGGAGCAUGAGCAACACCUGCGGGUAGUAAUGGAAAAGUUGAGGGCACAUAGGCUAUAUGCCAAGUUUAGCAAGUGUGAAUUCUGGCUGGAGAGAGUAGCUUUCCUUGGUCACAUCCUGACCGCGGAAGGCGUAGCAGUGGACCCAGAGAAGGUCGAAGCAGUCUCCAACUGGCAACAACCAACUAACGUUAGUGAAAUCAGGAGCUUCCUUGGUUUAGCCGGGUACUAUCGGAGAUUUAUUGAGGGAUUCUCCAAGAUAGCCCGACCCAUGACGGAACUUCUUAAGAAGGAAAAGAAGUUCGCCUGGACGGAAAAUUGUGAGAGAAGUUUUCAGGAACUGAAGCAAAGAUUGACGACCGCCCCAGUGCUGACCCUGCCGGACAUUCAUCGAGACUUUGUCAUUUAUUGUGACGCAUCCCGGCAAGGAUUGGGGUGUGUACUAAUGCAAGAUGGGAAAGUCAUUGCAUAUGCCUCCCGCCAACUCAGGGCCCAUGAGCAGAAUUACCCGACCCAUGACUUGGAAUUAGCAGCCGUAGUGCAUGCCCUCAAGAUUUGGAGGCACUACUUGAUUGGAAAUAAGUGUGAGGUUUACACUGACCACAAGAGUCUAAAGUACAUUUUUACUCAGCCAGAUUUAAAUUUAAGGCAGAGAAGAUGGUUGGAGUUGGUCAAGGACUAUAAUCUGGAAAUUCAGUAUCACCCCGGAAAGGCGAACGUGGUAGCCGAUGCCUUAAGUCGGAAAUCCUAUGGGCCCACGAAUGACCAUCUGCAAGAGGAAAUGGCACGAUUAAAUGUGCACAUUAUACCUCAAGGUUCCAGCCAAGUGCUAAACGUCCAAUCAGCAUUAGAGGAUAAGAUUAGAGAAGCCCAAAGCUCGGAUCGAGAGUUAGUAAAAAUUUGCAAACAAACUGGAGAAAACAAAGCACCGGGCUUCAGGGUAGACGAUAAAGGAACGUUAUGGUACGAGAAUAGGAUUUGCGUACCCCAGAAUGGAGAUUUCCAGAAAUUGAUCAUGGACGAAGCCCAUAACUCGGCCUACUCUAUCCACCCAGGAUCCACCAAAAUGUAUAUGGACAUAAAGCAAAAAUAUUGGUGGAACGGAAUGAAGGCGGAUAUUGCAAGAUUCGUGGCUCAUUGUGAUACCUGCCAAAGGAUCAAGGCCGAACAUCAAAAGCCAGCAGGAUUAUUGCAACCCUUGCCCAUCCCGGUCUGGAAAUGGGAUGAAAUAGGAAUGGACUUCGUAGUAGGCCUACCCAGAACACAGAAGGGACAUGAUUCCAUAUGGGUAAUAGUGGAUCGACUCACUAAAUCGGCACAUUUCAUACCCGUAAGAACCACUUAUGGUGGAGAAAAGCUGGCAAAACUUUACGUGGAAAACAUAGUGAAGUUACAUGGAAUGCCCAGCAGAAUCGUCUCGGAUAGAGGGACCCAAUUUACAUCUAGGUUUUGGAAAAGCCUACAUAAAGCCAUGGGCACUAAGUUAGAUUUUAGCUCCGCAUACCACCCACAGACGGAUGGUCAAACCGAGAGGGUGAAUCAGAUCAUGGAAGAUAUGCUAAGAGCAUGUGUCUUAACCUAUGGAAACGAUUGGGAACAGAGUCUGCCCUAUGCAGAAUUCUCGUACAAUAAUAGUUACCAAGCCAGCCUGGGUAUGUCGCCAUUCGAAGCCCUCUACGGAAGAAAGUGCAAAACUCCUUUAAUGUGGUCGGAAGUUGGAGAACGUGCCCUAGAGGGACCCGACUUCAUAAAAGAGGCAGAAGAAAAAGUAGCGGAGAUCCGCGAGAAACUGAAAGCAGCCCAGUCCCGACAAAAGAGCUAUGCAGACAAGAAGAGGCGAGAAAUAAGCUUCAAUCCGGGCGAUUUUGUCUAUCUCAAAGUCUCACCCAUUCGAGGGACACGAAGAUUUCAGGUACAAGGAAAAUUAGCCCCUCGAUACAUUGGACCGUAUCAAGUUCUAAAGAAAGUCGGAGCCGUGGCAUACCGACUAGAGUUACCAGAAGAAAUGUCAGAUAUACACCCAGUGUUCCAUGUCUCGCAAUUAAGAAGGUGUCUGAGAGUACCCGAGGGAGAACAUGUGCUGGUGGAAACAAUAGACCUGCAGCCGGAUUUGCGAUAUCAGGAAGUGCCGGUCAAGAUUCUAGACACUGUCGCUAAGAGGACCAGAAACUCCGAAGUACGGAUAUGCAGAGUUCAAUGGAGUAGACACGGAGUAGAAGAAGCGACCUGGGAGCGCGAAGAGGCUCUAAAGAAGGAAUUUCCCCAUCUGUUUAGGAGCCAGCCGAAUCUCGAGGACGAGAUUCAUUUAAGUGGGGUAGGUUUGUGACGCCCUGAAAACUUACCAAAUUAAACCACGCGCUAAAAUGUUCGUCGUCAAACCCUAACUCUAACCCUUGACGACCGACAGCGGAUUUGACCGCCGUCCCAAUCCCGCACCACUCACACAAGACCGCUUUCCGCGAAUAGCGCUGGCGCGACUCUUUUCCUCGCGCAGCGCGCGAACGCCGAGCACGCGUGGCCGACCCGCACGCGAUCACCCGCCGCGUUCUGCGCCGGCGCUCCUCGUGCCGCGCGCGAAUCCCCGCGCGCGCGUGGCCGACCGGCCGCGGUCGCCGCCGCGCGCGAAUCCCCGCGCGCGCGUGGCCGACCGGCCGCGGUCGCCGCCGCGACCGGCGCCGGCACGCCUUCCCCUCUUUCUCUUUUCUUUUCUUUUCCAAUCUCUCUCUCUUUCUUUCCUUCCUUUCCUUUCCUCCCUUUUUCCUUUUUCCUCCCUUCUUCCUUUUCCCUUCUCUCCUCUCCUCUCCCCUCCUUCCCCUGCCUCUGCUCCCGAGCACCCCCACGCCGCGCGCCACCGUGCCGCGCACGCGCUCGCCCCCGCGUGCCCGUGCACCCCUGCCGCACCGCGCCAGCCCCUGCCCGGCCGCGCCGUGACGCACAGCCGCGCCGCGCCACGCCCCCUGACCUGCGCACGCCACCCGCGCCCGCGCGCGCGUGUACCGCGUGCCGCGCCGCCCGCCGUGCGACGCGUCGCCUGCGCGCGCCCUGUUUCCCCCGCGUGGCGCGCCGCCCGCCGGCCGCACGCCGCCUGCACGCGCACGCCGAGCUGCGACGACGCGCCGCCCGCCGUGCCGUGUCCUGCCCCCGCUGUGCCGCCCCUGUGCCUGCACACCGCCGCUCGACGACACCCGCGACGCGACGCGGCCGCCAUUAAGGCGCUCCGCGCCGCUCGCCGGCCUCCCCACCGGCCCCGUCUCCUCGCCGCCUCAACCCGCCUAUAAGUAGGCCGGCCGCGGCCUCUCACCUCCCCACAAACCACCACCGCCGCCCCAGCUCCCUUUCCACGCCCCCAGCGCCGCCGCCGCCUGCAGCCCGGCCGCCGCCCGCAGCCCGCCGUCGCCGCGCCCCCUCGCACCGCCCCCGCCCGAGGUGAGGCCGGGAAUGGGCCCCCCCCUUCCCCCUCUCCCUUUUCCCCCACACGCCCGAGCCGGUUAGGCCCUAGGGCCGCCGGAUUUGGGGGCCGGCCGUGCCUCCCCAUCCUCCUCUGUUUCACGUGGUGAGGGGGAGGAAGAAGAAGGGCAUUUUGCCCAUAGCCCCCUACCCUUUCUUGUUUUCUCCCAAAAAGAACCCUCCUCGCUUAUUUACUUCCUUUUGCUAAAAAGACCCUGUUCUUCCCGGUAUUUCAAACCAAACCACUCAAAUUACAUAAACCUAUUUAUGACCGACACCCUUUAGCAAUGCCCUGAUUGAUUCCAGGAUUCGCAAAUAAGCCCCUACCCUCUUUAGAUAAUUCUGAACAGGCCCCUGAACCCCCGUUUAAACCCUGGAACCACCUUUAGCGCGUCAUUUUAUGCGCGAAACGACCUCCGAUUGACCCGAAACUUUACCACGCCCUUUCUAGUAUAGUUUUGGCCCUGCCAUUAAGAAACCACCCAGAGAUAUUGCCCCGACCUCCGUAACUAAAUUAUUUCCGAUUCAAGCUCGACGAUAAAAGCUUUUAGUUUUUGUGCUUGAUUGUGUGUUUGUUUGAUUGCGUCGUAGGACACGGAGUGAACGAGGAAGGUCCCGACUGUGACCAAGCGAACGAGGACCAGUUCCGCGACCCCGAGCCCGAGGGACAGUGCUACGACCAGGACUUCUCGCAAGGGUUUGACGAUGGCAAGUUCAAUUCCGCCCUUUGAUGCAUGUUUCUGUCCUAGUUUUCAUAAACACAACCCAGUGGCCUGUUUUAUAAAAUUGCAUGGUUUUGCGUGCUGAAAACAUGGUAGGAUAGCCACCCUUGUUUGAGAUAACCCUACCUUGACCACCUGAUUUUAUAAAGAAAAUGUGUGUGUGUGGGAAGGGAUACAAUGUGGUUUUGAAAGACGAGUUAGACGGGAUGGAUGGCAUUUCUGUGUGAAUUGCCGUUGGUGUGCUCGUACCUGUGUGGUUGAGCGAGGAAGGGAGAUAUCCAUCCUGUCACCCCUAAGGACCGAGUUGAUGUGACAUCUCACCUAGCUUCUUGUCGUGCGAACCACUUGACCGUUGUAUGGGCAACGGCUUAGCAUAAAUCCCACUAGUUAGCCUGAUAGCCAUCAGGAGAGCUGAGAGCAACGGGUGAUCAAGGAGAAGGGAUAAGAUCUGUGUGACUUAUGCCCCGGUUAAACCUCGGAGAUAGGUCGAAUGACCCCUUGAUGGAUCCCGUGGUGGCUAGUCAGGUCUAGCUAAGGUGGGUAAUGGCUUUGUUGGGAUCUGCACCGGCACUAAGGUGUUCGUGCUGUGGUACCCCACCUGUGGGUAAAGUUGCACACCUCUGCAGAGUUAAAAUCUAUUCGAAUAGCCGUGCCCACGGUAUUGGGCAAGUUACGGUGUGGUCACAUAACUAGUGUUUCACUCUGGGAAUGGAUGGGCUGGUGUGAGUUGUUUGGAAGGUGUCCGGCAGUUGUGCCGUGUGCUACGGCGGACGGGGAGUCCGGUAGCAGUUUAAAACUUGGAUCCUGUGUGGAUCAACAUCGUGUGCUCCUUGGUAUUGGAAAACUUGCUUUGAAAAUGUUUUCAAAAUGAACCCUUGCAUAUAACCGAGUUUUCCGCAAAUAAACCCUAACCGUAUUCCUUGGAUUGUCCUUUGCAUUAUUCUCUGUUAUACCCCCUCCGUGGGUGUGAUUGGACUUGCUGAGUACGAUCGUACUCACCCCAUUCCUAUUUUUACAGUGGAAGACCCAGACUACGUCCCCGAAGACAACGAGUAGGGUUUCGUCCUGCACCCAGUCUUGCCUGUGGUUGAGGCCACCGUUGGAUUCCGCAUGGCGCAAGACUCUGAUGAUCCUUUGUUCGUAGCUAGUGUAGUAGUAUGGGUUCUGGUUGUAAUCCUCGCGAUAGUGGCGCUUCACUGCCCAUUACCGCGUAGAGAUGUACGGUGAUGUACCAUCUGAUGUAAUAAAAGUGUUAUCAGCCUCCUGGGACUGAUAAAUCGACACUUUUAAGUCUUCCCUGAUGGGGGGGGGCGCUUCAUGGUACGGCAGGCCACAACCUUCAAACGCUCCAACUGGGGGACCCGGCCCCCAGCCAGCGCCGGAGUCCUCGGCAUCGGCUCCAGCAGGGCCUCCGCCAGGAGCAGCCCCAGAAGCCUCCGGGCCCAGUGGUCCGGAGCUGGAGGCUUCCAUGCCGCCAUGUCCAGAAGCCGCCCCCCAGGAGGAGGCGAUCAGGCCCACUGCGACGGCAGAUGCCCCGGCCACAGCGCCGGGCGCCGAGGUCGGGCCUUCCCCAGCCGAACCGGCAGUUGAGGGGGUCGCUGCUACGGCGGAGGCUGCUAGGCCAGAGGCAGCGGCGACGGCGGCACCGGAGGCAGCGGAGGUGGCGGCUCCGGAGGCAGCAGAGGCUGCGGCUCCGGAGGCCGCCGAAGUCGCCAGUAGCGCCGCCCCACCAGCGGAGGAGGAGGAGGAACCGGAGGUGGUGCUGGGGAGGCCUCUCCUCCCGAGCACAGCGGAGGUCCCACUCCCCCGGCUCAUAGCCAAAUGCCAACAAGCUCAACUGGAGCUAGAGACUGGCAUGCGACGGGAGUGGGAGAAGCUGGAGGCGGAGCGCCAGCGGCUCUCCGACUGGGAGGUCCGCCUGGGAACCGCAUCAACACUGUCUCCGCCCGCUAUGCCGAAGAGCGCGCCAAGCUCGCACAGGGAUGCGAGCUCCUGCGGGAGGAGCUGGAGCAGGCGCGCUAUCGAGAGGCAGCAGCGCUCGAGCGGGAGAAAGCAGCCAACCGGCGGGAAAAGGAGGCCCUCGAGGCGCAAAUCGUCGCGGAGAAGCUGAAGGAGGCGGCGACGGCCAGGGAGCGGGCCGCCCGGGAGCUGGCGGAGGCGGCGAGGGAGGCGUUUACAACGGCCGAGGCGCAACAGGCCUCCCUCGCAGAACAGGUGGCGGCGGCAGCGAAGAAAGAACAAGAGCUGGCCGCCCGAGAGGCAGAGGAGGUGGCCCGGCUGCAGGAGCUCCAGAAGCGGGAAGAGGCCGUAGAGAAGGAGCUGGAAGCCGGGUACCGGAGGCUCCAGGAACGCAAAGCAGCGCUCCAGGAGAGGGAGGCCAAGGUGGAGGGACUCCUGGCAGAGCAGCGCGCCGGCAUCAACCAAUUAACAAGAUGGGUUGAUGCGGUGAACUCUCUGCUAGAAGCGCUCGGGGCCAACCCAAUCUGGGUACCAGAGGCCCCUUCACCAUUCGGCGCCGCCCUCCUGCUGCUGGACUCCACCGCCAGGCGGCUACAAGAUGCAGAGGCCGGCCUGCAGGGCCUCCUGGAGGCAGAGGGACAAGUGGUUGCCCGGGGGAUGGCGGAGUACAUCCUCACCAGCCUCCGGAGCCAUGAUCCUGCCGUCCAGCUGACUCCCGUCCUGGUCGGGCCCCUCCAGGCAACGGCAGCCGCUGCGCGGGAAGGAGUCCAGGAGGCAGUGGACCUGGUCGCGGCCCGCCUCCGGCGACGUCCUGAACCUGCAGAGAGUGGGAGUGCCUCCGGACCACCAGAGCAGUAGUGCUAGUAUCUUUUUAGUUAUUUCUUUUGUAAUAUAACUUUUGUUAUUGUAAGAUAAUUUUAUAAUAUUAUGCACAUUUUUGCAAAAAACUUAGCUGUUUUCCUGGUUGUCGAUCGGCAAAGUGCUAAAGUACUUUUGGGCACACCGAGGUCCCGUGGCCCCCUGGGAGGUAGUCGCGAUAGGAUGGGACUAGCUGCCAUAAAACCGAGGUCCUGCACAUGACUUAGGAUCGACGCUUAGUAGACGUCCCCACAGGUUCCCGGUCUGGCCAGCAGAGUCCGCCUAAGUUGCGUAGCAAGCCAGAGCACUAGGACCUACAUUCGAGGAUUAAAAGGGGUCCCGGUCCCUUGGAGUAUGGUUCGAGGUACAACGGCGCUCACCCUAGGGGGGCAGGGCGUGUAGGCUUAGGGUACAGAACCAGGCUAAGCGGCUACACAACCCUGGACCCCAGCAUAGGGCGAGCGCGUUUCCCUGAAGCCAGUUCACAGGGGUCCGGUUCCUUUUUUCCUGUGAAACAGAGGUCCCGGGCAGAGACGUUGCGUAGCAACUUAGAGGAGGCCUUAGGCACAGCACAGACGUGAAGAACACGUGGGGGGUUAGCGUAAUAAGAAGCGAAAAAAUACAGGGUCACAUAGACUUCAAGGACGCAUUUGAGAACAAAUUUUUCCUUAACGAAUUGGUACAGAAGAGUUGUGCGAUGUACGCCAGGGGCCGGGUUUAUGAGGGCGGACCUCUACCGCCCUGAUCCGCACAGGAAUGCUACCAAUUACAAAGGAAAAAUUUCCUCUCAACCAGGUCCUAGGGAUAAAACUUACGGAGGUGCUCAAUGUUCCAUGGAUUGGGUAGUUGCAUACCAUCCUCCGCAGCCAAUCGAACAGAUCCGGGUCGGCACACCUUUGUCACCUUGAAGGGCCCCUCCCAACCGGGGGAGAGCUUGUGCAUGCCUUCUCGGUUCAGGAUCCGCCUUAGGACUAGGUCCCCGACCCGGAGCUCCCUGCUACGCACAAACCGUUGGUGGUAGCGCCGGAGCGCUUGGUUGUAUCGUGCGUUUCGGACUGCUGCUCGCCAUCUGCGCUCAUCGACGAGGUCCACGUCUUGGCGACGCUCCUGUUCCUGCAUUUCCUCAUCAAAGGAUCGGACUCGCAGAGAGCCCAUGGUGAUCUCCGGGGGAAGGCACGCUUCGGCCCCGUAAACCAAGAAGAAAGGGGUUUCCCCUGUUGCCCGGCUAGGUGUGGUCCGGUUCCCCCAUAACACACUUGGGAGCUCUUCAAUCCAUCUUGCGCCAUGCUUCUCAAGGUCACAGUAGGUCCGGAUCUUGAGCCCUCUGAGGAUCUCAGCGUUGGCCCGCUCAACCUGGCCAUUACUCCUGGGGUGCGCCACUGAGGCGAAACAGAGUUGAAUGCCCAUAUCCUCACAGUACUACUGGAAGUACUGGCUCGUGAACUGGGUGCCAUUGUCUGUGAUGACGCGGUUCGGGACCCCGAACCGGCACACAAUUGACCUGAGAAAAGCAGUUGCUGACGCCUUGGUGAUGUUGACCACUGGGGUUGCCUCCGGCCACUUAGUGAAUUUGUCAAUGGCUACAUAGAGGUACCGGUACCCGCCGACGGCCCUAGGGAAAGGCCCCAAAAUAUCCAACCCCCACACGGCGAAGGGCCAGGAGGGAGGAAUCAUCUGCAGCGCCUGAGCUGGGGUGUGUAUCUGCUUUGCGUGGAACUGGCACGCCUUGCAGGACCUUACCAACUCAGCUGCAUCCUGGAGCGCUGUCGGCCAGUAAAAACCAUGCCGAAAGGCUUUACCAACCAGCGUGCGGGAUGAGGAAUGACUUCCGCACUCGCCUCCAUGGAUGUCCGCAAGCAAAUCACGGCCUUCUUCCUGGGUGAUGCACCGCAUGAGGACACCGUUGGCGCCACGGCGAUAGAGAUCCCCUUCUAUCACCGUGUAUCGCUUGGCCAUCCGGACAAUACGCUCAGCAGAUGCUGGAUCUUCAGGAAGGUAGUUAUCUUUCAGGUAGUCCCGGACCUUAGAGAUCCAUGCAUCAGGACCUUCCUGAGGAACCGGGCGUGGCUCCCUGAGGUCUUCGGGACCCUCAAGGGAGCACACAACCCUUGGCGGGCUCCACAGAUGGAGCGCCGCCGGGACCGCCAGCUUCGAGGUGCUAGUCCGACCCCCUUCGCCCAGGUCGGCAGACUGGGCGGAAGGCUUCAGCAGACGUCUCAGGAAGACGCCCUCAGGCACGGGUGCCUGAGUCGAUGCGCUCGCGGAGAGCGCAUCAGCUGCUGUGUUGCCUUCGCGUGGAACGUGUUGCAGUUCCAGCACAUCAAAGUCCUUCUCCAGCCUUUUCACAUGAAUGAGGUAGGCUGCGAGCUGGGGGUUGUUGCAGCAACACUCCCCCCGGACUUGCUUGAUGAUGAGUUGGGAGUCCCCUUUGACCAGGACCUCCCGGACCCCUAGGGACAGAGCCGCCGUGAGCCCAAAGAUUAAGGCCUCAUACUCCGCCAUGUUGUUGGUGGCCUCAAAUUCGAGGCGCACCAUGUACUUUAACUGCUCGCCACGUGGAUCGAUGAGGACCACGCCAGCGCCGGCCCCCUUGCUGCGGGCGGACCCGUCAAAGAAGAGGGUCCAGUGAGGUCCAGUGAAGACCGGAGCCCUGACCUCCAGUCGUGGGGGGUCCGUCCCUUGGUCCGGUCCCCCGGGGGCACCUGGUGCAGGCGUCCAUUCCGCGAUGAAGUCAGCAAGAAUCUGGCUCUUGAUGGCAUGACGCGGCUGGAAGUCGAGUUGGAAGCCAGCGAGCUCUGCUGCCCACUUGGCGAUGUUGCCGGUAGCAUUGGAGUUGUGGAGGAUGGCCCUCAAUGGGUAGGAGGUCACCACCACGAUCUUAUGGGCCUGAAAGUAAUGGCGGAGCUUCCUGGACGCAACAAGUAUAGCAUAAAGGAGCUUAUGCGUCUCAGGAUACCUGGCCUUUGCCUCAUGAAGGACCUCACUGACAUAGUAGACCGGCUUCUGGACGGUCCUGAGUCUACCAGGCGGACUGGAUCCUUCAACAUGGGCUGGGGACCCGUCGGCCCCCAAGCUGCUUAGCAUUUCUCCGGGUCGGAACCCGGCCGGUCCCUCCGAAGUAGGGCCGGUUGCUGGAGCGGAGGAGGCCGGGCCUCCUUCUCCUGCAGGGGGGUCUGCAGGGGCCCCCUGCGAGAGAAACUCGGACCUCUCGGUGACCAGCACCAUGCUGAUCACCUCGGUCGUUGCUGCAAGAUAGAGAAACAGUGUCUCACCUGGGUCCGGAGCGACCAGGACCGGCAAGGAGGUAAGGUACUGCUUCAUUUCUUGGAAGGCACGUUCUGCCUCUUCGGUCCAUGCGAAUGGGCCGGACCCCCUCAACAACUUGAAGAAGGGCAGUGCCCUCUCCGCCAGCCUCGAAAUGAAGCGGCUGAGGGCUGCAAGGGACCCCGUCAACCUCUGUACAUCCUUGAGGCGCGCAGGGGGCCUCAUUGCUUCAAUCGCCCGGACCUUAUCCGGGUUGGCUUCGAUCCCCCGGUGGGAGACCAGGAAACCAAGGAGUUUUCCCGCCGAUACCCCGAAGACGCACUUCUCGGGGUUAAGCUUGGUGGAGGUCGCCCGUAAUUUGUCGAAGACUUGAGCUAAGUUUUCUAAGAGGGAAUUCGACUCUCUAGUCUUGACAACGAUGUCAUCAACAUACACCUCGACUAUAUCUCUAACCAAAUCACCUAGAGUGAUGUUCAUCGCUCGAGCAAAGGUGGGUAGAGCAUUAAGCAAUCCAUAAGGCAUCACUAUAUAACAAUAAAGACCAUCCACUGUUACAAAAGCUGUGUGCUUCCUAUCAUCACUAGCCAUUUUGAUUUGGUGGAAACCAGAAUAGGCAUCUAUGAAGGACAGCAAAUCACACCCGGAGGUGGAGUCUACAAUCUGAUCUAUUCGCGGGAGUGGAUAAGGGUCUUUUGGACAUGCCUUGUUAAGAUUGGUGUAGUCGAUGCACAUCCGAAGCUUCCCGUUAGCCUUUGGGACCACGACCGGGUUGGCCAACCAUACAGGAUGGUAGACCUCCUCGAUGAAGCCAGCCUGCAGCAGCUUGCGGACCUCUUCUCGGAUGAAGUUUUGCCGCUCAAUGGACUGCUUGCGUGGCUUCUGCCGAACCGGCCUGGCGUCGGGGCGGAUCUUCAGAUGAUGCUCAAUCACCUCCCUAGGGAUCCCGGGCAUCUGUGACGGUUCCCAGGCGAACACAUCAACAUUUGCCCGGAAGAAGGCGAUGAGCGCGCUUUCCUAUUUCUCUCCCAGGUUGCCACCGAUGCGGGUGGUCUGGGAGGCCUCCGCUCCGACCUGGACGGUCUUCACGGGGACAUCGUCCGUGUCAGACGGACGGACCUUCGGUGCCUUAGCCAGGGCCUUGGCACGGGAGGUCGAGGGGUCGGACCCCUGGGCGCCAGCUGCAGGGGAAAGGCCCGUAGCCAGCGCAUGGAGCUUUUCGACCGCCACAACGGCCGCGGCACGGUCACUCUGGACAGUGAGAACGCCUGCCGGAGAAGGCAUCUUCAGGACCAGGUACCCGUAGUGGGCGACGGCCAUGAACCGGUACAGGGCCGGUCUGCCGAUGAUGGCGUUGAAAGGGAGGUUAACUUCCGCAACCUCGAACUGGACGUUCUCGGUACGGAAAUUGUCCUCUGUCCCGAAUGUAACCGGCAGGGUGAUGGUUCCCACCGGAUAUACGGGAUCCGGGCCCACUCCUGAGAAUGGGCGUGAUGGAGCCAGCUUGGACUCCGGGAUCUGCAGGUGCUUGAACGCCGCAUAGCUAAUGACGUUGAGGCCGGCGCCUCCGUCAAUCAGCACAUGGUGAAGGCGAACAUUGGCGAUGGUGGGUGCCGUGAUGAGCGGUAGCACCCCUGCACCCGCCAUGUUCUCUGGGCAGUCGGAUGGCCCAAAGGAGAUGGUGAUGCCCUUCCACCGCUGGUGGGGUGCCGCCCUCGGCACCCCUGGUUUCACCGAGAGGACCUCCCGGCGAAGGGCCUUUAUGUCCCGUCGGGAGACGAGCUCCGAACUGCCACCGUACAUAACGUACAGCUUUUUGCGGCGCUCAUCCCCGCCGGACUCGGAAUCGGACUGCUGGAACAGUCCCUUGAGGUCUUUAUUGGGGGUUUGAUACCCCAACUCCCUCUCAGUCGCAGCGGCGUCGGCAUCAGAGGCCUUCUCCUUGCCGGACCGCCGCGGAGGGGAGGGGCCUUCCUUGGAGGCCUGGUCACGCCUCUUGCUGAGACGUUCCGCGAGCUUCUGGAUCUCGCGGCACUCAGCGGCGUUGUGGCGAGCCCCAGGAUGAACAGGGCACGAUCCGGGGUCGGUGCGCUGCUGUCGUGGGCGCUUGCCGCGGGGGUUCUGGCCCCCGGUCGUUGCAGCCGCAACGGCCGGACCCCCUAUCCGUGACUUGUCGAAGCCACGGCUCUUCUUGUUCUUCUUUUUGCCGCUGCCCGGUGCAGCGACACUGGGCCCACUCGUCUGAGCAGGUCCUGCUUGGGUUGCAGAGUGCCAGGCACGGCCCUCCGCAGCCCGGGCGCACUUGUCCGCCAGAGCGAACAGGGUGGUGACUGCUUCCACUUGGUGGGUCGCCAACUUCUCUAGCAUCUUCUCGUCUCGGACCCCCUGUCGGAAGGCCGUGAUAAUAGAUGCAUCGGAGAUACGCGGGAUAGUUCCACGCACCUUGGUGAAACGGGAGAUGAAGGCCCGGAGGGUUUCCCCGGGCUGUUGCCUCACGGCGUGGAGGUGGGCCUCCACGCCAUGCUGCUGGUACGCACUGGCGAAGUUCGCAGUGAACUGUGCGCAGAGCUCACCCCAGGAUUGGAUGGAUCCCGGGGUAAGGUUCAUGAGCCAGGUCCGGGCCGGCCCGGUCAAGGCUACAUGAAAGUAACUUGCCAUGACGGCUUCGUUACCUCCGGCCGCCGUGAUGGCGGUGAUGUAGACCUGCAGGAACUCUGACGGGUUGGAGGACCCGUCGUACUUUUCCGGCAGGUGCGGCCGAAACUUGGAUGGCCAGGCGACCGCGCGGAGGUGGUCCGCGAGCGCCGCGCAGCCCAUUCCCGACACCGGCGCCUGGGCGAGUUCCUGCGGCCUGGUCGCAGCCGCAUCGAGCUCGGGCGCAAGAACCCGACCCUCAACGUUGAGCCGUCGGUUGCGUGCUCGCUCGAUGGAGAUCCUGGCAUCCUCUCCCGCAUGCCUGCGGUUGAGCUCUGCCCGGAGGUCUUCGGUCCGUGCGCUCCUCACUGAUGGUGAGUGCACAGAACCGGAUGCGCCGCCUUGACGACGGCGCUGCCUGGACACAGACCCCCCCGCUGAGCCCGGAGAAGCCUGUGCCAGGUUGAGGAGGCGGUCGACGUCGUCGCGCCACUGUCUGUGCGCGUCUGGCGACGCUGCCUCACCAGGGGGGUUGCGGAGUAGCUCCCUGUCUGCCAUGAGGGGCCCGCUCGGUGGGAGCACCGAUUGGGCCACAGAGGCCCGCUCCGCUGCACAUGGUGGAGCAGCACGCGGAGCCACCCUGGAGGCGGGAUGACGCGAGGCGUGUGGCGCCGUCGACGCCACUUCUUCACCGAUCAGGAGGUCAUGGUGACCAUUUUCCUGCGCCAUUGAAGUCGCGAAGGUCGACCGAGCGCAAACCAAACCUAAGCCCCUACCUGGCGCGCCAAAUGUCGGAGGAAUUCUCCAGCCGGGUGGCGGAAAGCACCCGCCUAAUCCUAGUUAAGGAUGGGUUUGGAGGAGACUUAGGAGCACUCGAUCGGUGGACAGAUGGUCGCAGGAAGGACACGAUGAUUUAGAGUGGUUCGGGCCGCCGGAGCGUAAUACCCUACGUCCACUUUGGUGUUAGUAUUGGCAGCGUAAGCCUGAAUGAAAAACGGCCUAGCUUGUGUGUGUGCUACCUGAAAUCUGUCUUCUAACGAGUGCACUCUCCCUUUUAUAGUUCAAGGGGAGUGCUUACACUGUGCGGGGCCCCGACAGGUGGGCCCGGCCAACAGGGGCCGUUCUACGAGAGAUAAGGAGGUCUUCUCCUCGAGCUCCUCUCCGUAGUCCUCUCAAUCGAGAAGUUGAUGUGCGUAUCUACAGCCAGGAUAUGGCCGCGUACAGCCUUGUCUUGUACAGUGCUUGGUGUCAGCGUUGCCCAACAGUGAAGCCGUGCUGUCACUGUUGGGAUGGGACCUCCUGUCAGGGGGCGAGCCGGCGCUGGCUCGUGCCAUGCGCACUGUUACAGCGCAAGCCUUAGCACGCCUAUUACAGACCAUCAUCACACGCGCAGCGCCGUGACGGGACUGCACACAGUCCGCGCACUGUGCGCGGUGAUACGACGCGCCGCCUUCAGAUCAGGCGGGCUUUCCGUGGUGUCAGCCUACCUGCCCCGUGUGUCAGUGGCAGGCCGCGCCUUUUGACUUUGGCGCACCCGACCCAGCCACCGCAUUAAAUGCUGGUAGGUGGAGAGGCGACCCGCAAGGGGCCUCCGGCCGCAGGCACGCGGCGGGGCCGGCCCCGCUCCUCCCGCUGGGCUGCACAUGGCGGCACCGGACCCCCUCCCGGGGGAAAGGGGCUCCGGGCCCCGAGACCGGUCAGAGCGGGCUGGCCUGUGAUGGUCCGGCCAUCACACGUGGCGGCCCCGGGCCUCCCAGGGGAGACCGGGUCCGCGGGGCUACUCGAGAGCUCUCCCACCCGCCUGGGUGUGCAGAGGCCCCGGACCUCAUGGAGCUUGGGGAGGGUCCGGAGACCGUGGUCCCAGCUGUCAGGCCCGGAGGCCGUAUGCCACGUGGCCCAGAGGCGAGGGGGAGCGUGGAUUAUGAGAAGUACCAGGGCCUGGACACCCUAGCAGGAGGUACCCCUAUCUGUAUGUACCGACAGCACCGAUAAUUGAAUAAAUAAUGAUAUAUGCACAGAGAGAGAGAGAUGCACAUGGACAGCGGAGGACGACAAAGGCCGUUCUGAUGAGCUGCAGCUCAAAAUCGCCGGCCACUGAGCUGAGCAGCAGCAGCAGCAACAGCGGGCGCACCCGCGGACAGAGCUAGCCGGCCAAGCAGCGGUACGGCUCACGCUUACACCCUGGGGCAUGUUGCUUGGCUGCACUCGCCUCCUGCCAUCUGUGAUCUGUUAUGAUCUCAUGUCCUCAGCCUGCCCGGCAGACGAACCGUGUGUGUAAUAACUCGAUCGAGAUCUUACUGCUACUCGAUCUGCUAUAGCUAGGCCGGCGAGAUCCCAUUAAACUCGAAUCAUCUGCAACGAUCGACUCGAAUCAUCUGCUAAUCGCCGUGGUCCUCCAUGUUUGCAAUGCAUGGUUGCUUCGCGUUAACAGCCGCCGGCCCCCAGCCGGCCAGUCGGCAGGUGAGCAGCAGCCGCCGGUGUUGUGGCCGGCCGUGCCGCCGGCCGGACCACAGGAUCAUAUCGCAAGAUCACACCACGUUUCCACAAGGGGAUAUGCACAUAUAAUACAGUUAUCAAGAGACAAGAUUGUUUGUUUUUUGUUUGGUAAUUGACCUGUUCCUGAAAUCCUGAUGAAUGCUGGUCCUUGCUGGCUGAGAGAGCUCACAUGCAUGCGUGCGCGCGUGGACGAGCUCUUGGCCUCUUGGGUUCUUGCUUGUCAUGUCCUUGGUGUCCUAAUGUAUGGUUGACUAGGGUUCCAGUACUCUAUCAUCACUGCAUCAUCAUAGUUUGGUAGGGUCUUCAAUUGUGUUUGUGCUUGAUUAUUCCAGCCAAACUUCGGUUUUAUCAUGGAAGAAGACCUGUAGGCUGUAGCCAGGGGAAAGGGGAUGGGAUCGUAGGGUGUAGGAACAAGGCAGCAACUGCUUCGAAUUCGAUCCCGUUGCCCGGCCUUUUCUCCUCUUGACAUGGCCAAUCAACUGGUGUGGCCAGGGAAAAAAGAAAGAAACAGGAACAGGAAGGGCUGACCAGCUUCCCGAUGCUUGCUCCUCAAUACUGGACUAGCAUCUACCUGCAUGGCUGCAUCCUGCUGCAGCUACAGUGGCAAUGCGUGUGACAGCUUGCCUAGACCCAGGGAUGAAACAUAUAAAGAGCUGCGUGCAAUAGCACUGGUACGUGACAGGCCAGCCAUGGGACGAACAACUGUAGCUGGUGAAAAAGUGAAGAGGAGGAAAAAAAAAAAGAGGAGAGCUCCAAAAAGCAAGAACCUGCCAUGCUGCUGCACAACACAGGGAUAAGCUUUCCUAGCUAGGCCACUGCAGGCACUACAAGCUACAGUCCCCUAUGCUGGCCAGGCCUGGACUCCUAGUCUUGUUCGAGUGAGCACCAAAGCUUUGUUUUGUUUGCAUGGAAAUCGAUCUGAAAAUCUGCUGGAAACAUAGUACUUCACGUGCGCGCUCUGCCGAUGAUGAGCAGCUCGCGCGGUGUAGAGAAAUGACACCACGCUACCUGCAGCAGCCUGCACUGCACUGCACGCCUGCAGCUGCUGUGGUGGCGUGGAUUGAUGAGCGAGGCCUGAGACCAGAUCACGCGACGCAAGCGUGUUGGCUGCUGAUUUGAUCGCACGCCUGGGGGUUACCUUUCACCCUCCGCUUUGCUUUCCGGCGCCGCUGCUGAAAACCUUGCUGCAGCCGCGUACGUGCACCAAUGCCUAGAAGCUCUUUAAUUAGGGCAUGCAUGUUUGGUCGAGAACUAACUUCGUUAUAUGUUUUGUCUAUGUCUGCUAAGGUUAAUCUUUGCCACCAAAUUAGAAUUGACCAUGUAACAUUAGGCUGUGAGUGACGUGUGGGCCAAGUGACGAAGAACUUAGACGGCCUGCCUGAAGUUAGUUGCAGCAAAUUCAGGCUCCAAUCUCAUUUUUGCUUCGGCAGUAUUCCAAUCUUUUCAAAUCGUAAAAUCGUUCCUUAGUCGUAAGGGUACCGAUAAAAUAAUUAGUCACGAUUAGUCGUCGAUCGAUCUGAUUAGUCGAGCCUAGUCGGUUUAUUUGGUAGUCUAGUCAUCCUGUAUAUUUCAGGACCGAUAUAGAUUUUCUACUAUAUAGUAGUAGAUUGUUUAAAGCAGAGAUUAAUAUAAAAUUAAUGGUUAGAUGGUCACUAAAUUAGUAAUUUGUGAGUUUUGAUUUGUAAAAUAGACUAAUAAAGCACUAUAGUACUAGAUUAGAGCUAAAACAAACAGCAAGAAUGCAAGAUAGAGGAGGCCACCGCAGGACGGGAUUAAGCGAGCGAACAGCCGCUGACGGCGACCGGAUGAAGCGGCCGCUGACCGUUGAAGAAAACCGUGGACUGGAUCCUAGACGGCUGCUACACUAGAGAAGGGGAUUCGGAGGCGUGGCCGCUGUAGAGAUGGGCGGCCGACGGCUGGCAGCUAGGAGUUGAGUACACACACGAACACUCACCUAGGGACCUGUGUGAGACUCGUAUACCUAAAAUAUACCUAAAAUCUAAUGGGCCUCCAAAUAACCAGCCAAAAGACCAAAACCAUCGAUACCCAAAAGUUGCCUAGAGCUUGCUGUAAAUUAGUCGUCCCCGUACUAAUCGGACGACUAACCGUGAUUAGUCGACGAUUAGUUAGACGACCAGCCAUCUGGUCGAGGUAAUCGCCUCGGUGGACAUGAUCGGUACUAGCGGACCGGUACUAACGGACCGAUAAGCGUGAUUAAUCGCGACUAAUUGUGAUUAGUCGGAUGACUUAAAAUAUUGCAGUAUUCACAUGUUGUUAGGAGUCAAACAUAUCGAGCAUAUCACACUUUUGUUAAGAGUUCUUCGUCUGCAUAAUAUCAUAUAGGUUUAGAUAUUAAUGUUGUAUUCCCUCCGUCUCAAAUUAUUAGUUAUUUUAUUAUUUUUCUAAAAAUAUAGAUAUUGUUACACGUAAACAUGCAUAACAAAAAUUAUACAUUUUGAAAAAAUAAUAACUUAGAAUUAAGAAUAACAAUGUACCGACACACGCUCCAGACGGGUAAAUUGUAUUCUCGCACUACCGGAUAAUGUACUGUUUUACAGCACGGCAAGUGUAAAAAUUCGCAGCUGGCCCCCCUGAGUACACUUGCUCAUCUCUCUCUCUCUCUCUCUCUCUCUCUCUCUCUCUCUCUCUCUCUCUCUCUCUCUCUCUCUCAUCUGUCAAUUAUCUGCCUACAUACAACUCCAACCUCUUAAAUGCAAUUCAAUGCCUGCCCUUUGCCCUUAUCUCCCGCUCUCUCUCUCCAGUAGAGUACAUAGCAAUUUGUCAGUAGUAGUGCUACAACAGCAGUGCUCCAUUGGCUCACCGCUAACCAAGCCCGAGAGAUGCUCUGCACUAAUUUUUAGUCCCUUAAAUAGAAUAUUUGGACAUCAAUUAGAAGUAUUAUAUAUAUACUGAUUAAAAAAUCAAUUACAUAAAUUGAGCCUAAUUCGUGAGCGAAUCCAUUAAGCCUAAUUAGUCCAUAACUUGAUAAUACUGUGCUACAGUAAAUAUAUGCUAAUGAUGGAUUAAUUAGGCUUAAUAGAUUCGUCCCGUGAAUUAGUCUCCAUUUAUGCAGUUAGUUCUAUAGUUUGCCCACAUUUAGUUCCUUAAUUAACAUCCAAACAUUCAAUGUGAUCCGAACUAAAAAUUAGUGCUCUGGGGCCGAGAUCCACCGUAUUAAUUAUUCACAAUUUCACGGUGGCCGCAAGGAUCUUUCGAAAAAAGGGUAGGCACAAGCCAUUGGUUCAAAGUACCAAUUUUGGAGGGUGUUUUGUCAGGAGCAAACAGUGCACUAGAUACAACGAACAUGAGUACGCCCUACAGACAUUUAGUUCGUGCUCUUCCUUUAAAGGAUGUAUGUGUACUUUUGGUGCUGAUCAUUCUGGGUGUUUACUGUUCCUAGAUGCACGAACCUGUAAAUGGCACCUUCACCAAGUACUACCCUUGUAAGAUUUUGAAAUUAUCGGCCGGUUCUUGCUCUAUACUUUGUCCGAAUGCAAGUAGAAAGUAAGAUUUGUGUAUGACUGUAGCCAUCAUUUAUCAACGUGUGAGGUACUGUCAGAACCAAAUAUAGCUAAAUGGACCAUUACCAUAUAGGUGCGGCUAGUUGGAGAGGACAGGUAGGACCAGCUAUUGGCGUGGGCUUACUUUGAUUAGUGUGUAAAAAGAUCUAAUCUUCUGUGCGCAGCUCUUGCUAAUUUCCUGACAGUCGCUCACAGGCGCAUGUUUACCGUCAUUCCAGAAUUCUUUUGUGCACCCAUUUUCGAUGGAUUUUUGCAGGACAUUUAUGCACGUCGUCUUGAGCGACGAUAAAUUCUUGGGCCAUCUAUUUUUCUCGCAAUGUCAACGGCCAAAAUAAUGGCCGGUUGCAGGACAGCAGCCUGCAGCAACCACAAAUUGGAGGGCAAGUCCACAACGGUUGUAGGCUGGAAUAAACAUGGCAUGCAUUAAAUUUACUAUCGAGUGUAGUUGUAGCAUUUGCCGGGUCAUGUGUUUUAUGGUCAUGGCAGAGUCGUCUUCCGUAUGUAGGGACGUGUACAUAAAUAAUAUUCAUAGCAUUCAGCAAACAUGUAGAUAUUGUUUGUCGGCCGGCAUUGUCACGAAAGAGAGUAAAUAUUUUGGGUAUUGUGCGCAUGGUACACAUGUUUGUAAAUGUUAAUAAUGUAAACAAGAGUAAGAAGUUUUCUUUUCCAAAUUGGGAAUAUUGAUUCAGAGCGUUGCUUUGGGUUAUUUUUCAAAAGUAUGAUUAUAGUAUAUCCGAUUGAUGACCAGAUAUUUCUAAUAUUUUUUAAGAAUUUUUGGGAUCUAUCUUUUCUCUGGCGCGUCUUAUGAUUAUUAAUGUGGAGGUUCAGAUAAGAGUCUUCAAUUAGUAAUAGUAAAAUAAGACGGGUUCUACUAUUUAAUUUGUUGUCCAACCAAUUGUACUACUUUUCUUCUGUGCGAUUCUUGCUUCCAGAUAUAUAAUCCUUACAUAUGCAUGUGGUUUUCCUUUUUUUUUCACGGCACAUACUCAUAUACACAUAUGCACACACUACACGACGGUUGAUUAUCAGCAACUAAUGGUCUGUCGCUAUAAUGGCUUUUAGCAACCUACCAUCUGUCGCUAAAAGCCUUUAGCGACCCACCUGGACGGUCGCUGCAGCCGGGGUCGCUAAAAGUUUUAGCGACCCACCUCUGUAUUAGCGACAGACUGUGAGUUGCUAUUGAGAACUAUAUAGCGACCCACUGUGGGAUUGUAUAGAGUACAUUAGCAACCAACUAAAGGUCAGUGAUUCCUGACACCAGCAUAUAAGUAAUAGUAUUAAUUAUCGCUAUUGACAAUAAUUAUUAGUAUUAAUAGGAAUUAUUAGUAUCAAUGUUGACCAUCACAGAUACAAUAUCACUUGAUUAUAUUGAGUACUAAAUGGUCCAUUCCAUCACAAAUUGUCAUAAGUCAUGAGCUAAACAAUAACUAGAUUAGCUUACAAUAUCAAUCGUCAUAAGCUGUGCAUUAGCUAAACAGUAGCUAGAUUUAGUUACAAAAGAGCUGUUUGCAUUCUUGCAAAUAUAUCAUUGCAUAUUAGAACCAGAUUUGUGCAUAAAUAAAGAAGUGUUAUACCAGAUUCUGUCGCAUAUUAGAACCAUGUUGCGACCUAGGCUCUUCACUUGCACGGUCUUGUACUGCCCUUUGCUCAAGUUGGUCCUGCAGCUCACGCACCCGCUGUUCUAGAGCAGCUUUCUCACUUUCAGCCCUUUCACGGGCAAAUAUCUCCAUUUGAAGUCUUGUUGGUGCAUAACAUUUCAGCCCCGGAGUGCCAACAUCUUGAGGAGUUGGACCUAGACCCAAACCUCGGACAUAUCCUUUUGGCUCUUUCAACCCACAAAUAACAGCAAAUGCAUCCCCUUGCUGAAUUGUUCGCUCCGUUAACUCAGGAUAUAUCUCAAUUAUGUCUUUAAGGGUUUUCUAGAAAAGUGUAUCAUCAGCUCAUAUGUCAUAUUAUCACUAAAUGCAUAUUAUACAAUCAUUUAUAAAAAAGGCCUUACAAUUGUUACAUCUGCUUGGGGUAAAGGAACUCCAUUUUUCCUUGUAUGAGUUUUGAUAAAUAUUUCAUCUCUUCGUGGAGAGCGUCCUAGUUGUACAGCCUGCAACAAUUCCAUGUUAAAAUAAAGCUUUAAGUAUUAUCAGAUUGAGUACACUCUAGCUAUAAUUAUUAUACUACAACAGAUUGUUCCAUGUUAAAAUAAAGCUUGAAGUACUAUCGGAUUGAGUAAAUGCUACAAUAAUUAUAUAUUACAACAGAUUGAGUGUUACCAGAUCAUGCUCUGAACAUGCAAAGCUCACACUACCACAUGUAUGGGGCAUCUCCACAUUUUGUCGGUUUGCUUUACCAAUUUUGGAGCGAUCCUAACACACAAAUAGAAUAUUAUGCAUUAAUAUAGAGAUUUGCUUGCAUAUUUUACAAAAGAAUACAACAUAUUAUAUGGUUCUUACCUCAAAUUCAGAAGACAUCCAAUAUGCAUAAAGAUAUUUCCAAUCCUCUGGAUUGACCCUUUUGUCAGGACAUUCUGGAAUUUCUUCUAUAUUUAUUUCUGGAUUGAAGUACCGUUUCUUUAAAUCUGACCUGAAAUUUUUCCAUUUUUUCCCUGCAGUACGCAUAACCCAAUUAAAGCCAGCACCGUCGAUAUCAAAAUAUUCCUUCACAGCAUCCCACAACUUCAUCUUAUCAGCCUUUUUAACAAGCCUCCAAUCAGAAGUUCCAAUUGAGAUUUCCUUUCUAACUAGACACCCAAUAGCUCUUGCAAAUUUCUUAGAACUUUGACCAACAGGCUGACCAUAUGCAUUGAGUAAUAUUUUAAUUUUAGGCUCAUCUGGUUUCCUUGAGAAAACAUUCUCCAGCUUAGUUAUGCCUCUUCCAACCCUUUCCUUUUCAGUAGCAUUGCUUUGCUCAUCAUUCUGAAUAUCUUCAACUAUAGAAUAUAGCACCAUAGUGAAAACACAUAUUAGUGAGCUGAGAAUAUCUCCAACUAUAAAAUGUAGUUUCAUAUCAAUAUAUAGUAUAAUAAUUCAGUACCAUUGUCACUUAAAAAACCUCCAACUGGUUGCAAAUCAGCAAGCACUGGAUCAUCUUCAGGCUGGGCAACCUUUUUUUGUGGUCUUGGGCGCAAGGUCCGAGGUGUUGUUGUUGGAAUACUUGUGCCACGCUUUUCCUAUUAUAAAAUGACAUGUGCAUGUGAAAGAAAUACUACCACUAUUAUCCAUGUUAAGUAGAUUGUAUAAUAAAUAAAUUUACAACGCACCUUGCAAAUUCUCUUAGCCCGAUCUUGUUGUGCCAUAGAGUUGACUAGUUCAGGGAUGUUAAGCUCUGCCAUCCUCCUCUUGUUUCUUUCAAUGUUUUCUAGCUUUAGCUGCUCAUACUCAUUACUUGAGGCCGCUUUAUCAUUUCCUCUUGCGCUUGACAUCUUGUUUCCUAAAAAAAGUUGACAAUAAGCUCAGCUAUAUGUACUUAAAUAGUAAUAGAAACAUAAGGGAAUGCAGCUUCUACAGUUCAAGGAACCAGCAAGAGAAGGGGCAUUAACAAACUUACUUUCUAGAUUUUUUCCCUUGUUUUAUUCCAGACACGAUAAUACCAUCUAUGUCUGUUCUAGCACAAGGAACACAUCGAGGAAACUCAUUUACAGCAACAUCACAAUUUACAUCAGGCACUGUCGCAACUAUGUCAUUACCAUCAUCAAGGAUGUCAUUAUCAGCAUCACCACUUCCAUACAAAUCUCUAGAUUUUGGUUGAAUAACACAAACCCAUUCAUCAUCAAUUGGAUCAGCAACAUAGUAAACUUGAGUAGCUUGUGAUGCUAAGAUGAAGGGCUCAUCCGAUAUCUUAUCACCAGUAUAGAAUAAAUGCUUGAAAUUAACACUAGUAAUCCCGAAUUCAUCUGUUUUGACCCACUUAUUGUCUACACGGUUAUCAACCCAAUCACACUUGAAAAGCACAAUAUUUCCUUUGUGAUGAUAGUUUAGUUCAAGAAUUUCUUUUAUGAUGCCAUAAUAGAUGUGUUUCCCUAAUAUUUGAUUGUCAUUAUUGCCUCUUUCAAAGCAUGUUGACUCCGCAACUAGAGCUAUACCGCUACUUUGAACUGGCCUAUUCUCAUCAUGGGACUGCGUAUGGAAGCUAAAACCAUUUAUUGUGUAGCUGUUAUAUUGUUGUGCAAUCAUCAAUGGCCCCUUAGCUAAAAUUUGGAUCUCUUCCGAGGCAGCCUCGCCCAUUUCCUCAACCUGUGGUUAUUAAUACUAAUGUUAAAGGACAAGAAAAUUUGAUAUCAUGAUCUACAUUACACCUAUGUUUGACACUUACAUGCAACCUAAACCAAUCAUGGAAGGUUUCAUGAUGAAGCCGUUUGAUCUCACGUUUAUUUCGAACACCCUUUGAGGACAGAUAAGUAGCAUGCUUGCUGAAAAUGCAAGAAAAAAAAUUAUAAGCAUAAAAGACAAAUCAGCAAACAACACAACAUGAGUUCAAAUUCUUACAUUAAGUAUGGUUCUAUAUCAGCAUAGUUGAAAAGCACAUAUCUAUGUGCUUGAAGCCAUGUCUUGUGAUCCAAAUUCACAAAACACUUUCCAGCCAGUCCUUGACCCAUUUUAUAAAAGAAUGGAGUUGUCUUGGAAAUUUCUGUGGACAGCACACCAUGAUUUCUAAUUCUGUUGCUAAAGCCACUCUCAUCUUGUAAAUACCGAGAGCAAAAUGUAAGAGCAUCUUCGAACAUAGCACCCUCCAUGAUUGAUCCCUCCGGGUGACUUUUUGUGCGAACAUAGCCCUUGCAUUUCUUAAGAAACCUUUCUACAGGCCACAUGCUGCGAAAAUGAAUUGGACCAGCCAUUCUUGCUUGGGCAGCCAGAUGUACCAUCAAAUGUACAUUGAUAGUAAAAAAAGAUGGAGGGAAUAUAGUCUCUAGAAGGCUCAAGAUCUCAGCUAUUUCAGACUCUAACCUUUGCAUGUCAUUUAUUCGAAUUACAGGGGAGUACAAUUUCCUGAAGAAGUUACUUAAACGAAUCAAAACAGCACUAACAUCUUUAGGGAGUACUCUCCUCACAGCAAGUGGUAACAAGUCUUGUAGAAGAAUGUGGCUACCAUGACUAUUAAGACCAAUUAUCUUUUUUUCAUUAACAAGAACAUUAUGCCGUAUAUCAGCUGCAUAGCCAUGAGGAAAUUUGACCCCUUUUAACACUUUACAAAAUAUUUUCUUCUCAGCAGGGCUCAUUGAGUAAGGUGCAGGAGGUAAAUAAAACUGGUUAUCUUCUAGUUCAACUGGGUGAAGAUCCCUUCUAAUAUCUAAAGCUUGAAGAUCCAAACGAGCAUUCAAAUUAUCCUUGGAUUUUCCAGCUAUGUCCAGUAACGUAUUAAUUAUGUUGUCACACACAUUUUUCUCUAUAUGCAUAGCAUCAAAAUUAUAUCGAAGCAUCAAGUCCUUCCAAUAUGGAAGGAUGAACCAAAUAGGUCUCCUUUUCAAAAAGACUAAUGCUUCCCCUUCCUUACGUCUUUGAUUCUUUGCUGGCUUACGGGAUGGGUCCUUGCCAUAAACCGUUUUCAGAUUUUUCGUGUAUUCCAAAAUUUCCUCUCCCGAAAGCGGAGCAGGUGCUGGCCUGACCUCAAUGCCACCAUCAAAUAAAUCCACAUCAAACCUAUAUGGGUGGUCCGGGUGCAAAAACCUACGGUGUGCCAUGUAACAGGACUUGCCACCAUUUCCAAGUCGAACAGAACAUACUAAAGAGUGACAAUCUGGACAUGCUGCUUCACCGGAUACAACAAAACUAGAGACGCUUCCAAGACCAGGUAAAUCAGUGAUAGUCCAAAGAAUUGCAGCACGUAAUUGAAAAUAUUCACCCUUCGAAGCAUCAUAAGUUCUAACUCCGUUAACAAACAUAUCUAGCAGAUCAUCAACAAGUGGUUCAAAAUAAACAUCCAUAUCACUAGCAGCAGAAGACCGACCAGGAAUCAACACAGACAAGAUGAAAUUUGAAUCCUUCAUGCACAUUGAAGGUGGAAAAUUCAAUGGAAUCAAAAUACCAGGCCAAAUACUGUAAUUAACAUUCAUAGUCCUAUGUGGGUUGAAACCAUCAGUAGCAAAUGCUAGACGGAUAUUACGACUAUCAGCAGCAAAUUCUGGAUGCUUUUUAUCAAAAUCCUGCCACAAAGGUGAAUCGGCAGGAUGCCUAAGUAAACCAUCUUUCAUUCGACUUUCGUCAUGCCACCUUGUGAGACUUGAGGUUCUAGAGGACACAAACAAUCGCUGAAGUCUUUUUUUGAUGGGGAAAUAACGAACAACUUUCCUAGGAACCUUGUACUCACGUUUCCCAUCUAGGCUUCUCUUUUCUGAUUUCCAACGAGAUAACUUACAUUUUGGACAAGAAUUAAAGUUUUCAUGCUCUUUCCAAAAGAGAAUACAAUUAUUUUCACAUGCAUGGAUACUAGUAUACCCAACUCCAACAGAUUUUACCAAUUUCUUAGCUUCAUGGUAGUUCUUGGGAAGUGCUGAACUUUUAGGUAGUGCAUCAGCAAGAAGAUCUAGCAGCAAAUCAAAACUCCUAUCGGUCCAACCCCCAAUAAGUUUGAUGUGAAGCAAUCGAAUCAGAAAACGUAACUUGGAGUAAUUGUUGCAACCAGGGUACAAUUCCUGACUAUUAUCCGCUAAUAGCUUUUGAAUACCAGCAAGAUCAUUAAUAGGCAGCUCACAAGACCCAUCAUCUAGCAAAUCCCCUUUAUCAUCUAAACCACAAGCUAAGUCCCUGAUCAACUCAGAUAUAUCAUCAUCAUCGCUAGGCUGUUCAAAAAACUCAGGACGAUCAUUGUUACCAUGGUUCAUAGAAGAACUAGCUUCACCAUGUAAAGUCCAUGUUUUAUACCCUUUUAGAAAUCCAUCACAUAUCAAAUGCUCUCGCACUUCACUACCUUCUCUCCAAAAUGUGUUAACACACUUUCUGCAAGGACACAAUAUUUUUCCCCCUUUCGCUGAAUUUUGAAAGGCAAAAGCUAGAAAACUGUUCACCCCUUGUUUAUAAGUCUUUGUCUCCCUAUGGAUAAUCUUUAUGUUAAUUAUAAGCUAAAAAAACUAUUAAUUAUUCUGAAAAAAUGUAGUAAUACCUAGACGCAUUGUCGAUCCACGACUUAUCCAUACACCUUAUAUGGGAUAUGAAAUACCAUCCAACAUAAAUAUAUAAGAAAACAUACUUUAAUCAGAUUCAUGCACAUACAGAGAAAUUCAUAGAUCCAUACACAUACAAAGAAAUUCACACACAGAAAAUUACUAAUAAAAACUAAAAUAUAUGAGACAGAAAUUUGAUGAAAUUACCUUCUAUGAGAGCUAACGAUGCUCAACAAUGACAGCUCUGGCGAAGGCACCACUAGCAGCUCGAGCUAACGAUGCUCAACAAUGACAGCUCUGGUGAAGGCACCAAUAGCAGCUCCUAGCAGAACAGCUUCUCUGAACCAAGCUAUAACUGCCACUGCAAAGAAAAACAAAUGGAGUGCAAAGAAAUUCACACGUAAUGAAGUAGUAAGAGAAAGGAGUAAGCAAAACCAGCACCUAGGAGAGGACCUAAAAGAAUAAGAAAGGAAUAAGCAAACCAACACCUAGGAGAGGACCUAACAGAAUAAAGGCUGGGAGCAGGGCUGGGCCGGCAAAAUCGGAGGCCCUGUGCGAACUUCAAAACAGGGCCUUUUUUCUUAAGAAAUAGGAUCAUAAUUUGUAACAUCAUAUAUUAUAAUAAAAUAUAUAAAUAAACAUACCUAUUGAAUUUCGAAUUACAAAAAAAUUAUUUGAACAACAUCAUUCUUUUAGUGUUUCUUGAAAUAGCUCUUUUUUAAUUCCGGAUGACACUUGUGACUCUUUUAUAAUAAACCUAUCCAUAGCUUCUUUUUGAUAUUGAAUCUAAUUCUCAAUUCUUUGUUUUUUCUUACGCUUUUGGUAACCUGAACCAUAUUUUUUAGAUGGAUUCGUGGAAGACAUUUGCACAAGCACAUACAUAUAUAAAAGAAAUCAAUCAAUUCAAUGUUGAUGACUAGAAAAGUAGUACUAGCAGCUGGAACUAAAAAAGUGUUAAAUACAUGCACGUAAAUUAGUCAAAGUACCUUCAGGCUUCGGUAGCACAGCAGCUUUUGUGAGGGACACCCGUUGAGGUGCUAUCACCAAGCCUAACGCAGCACCAGCAGACAACACAGCACUCAGCAGGAUGCGACGGGAAUGGCACUGGGACAAGCACGGCAACGCUGGGAGGGAGCAGCGAGGCUGGGAAGGAACGGCGAGGCUGGCAGGAUGCGGCACUGGGAGUGGACGGCGGGGGCAGGGGCGGCGCUGGGAGCGAAGGCUUCGGCGCUGCUCCCAGCCUCCCAGCGCAGGCGGCCUUCAGCAGGCGGGCUCAGGGAGGGGCCGUGGCUCCCAGCGCAGGCAGGCCUCGGAGGGAGAGGGCCGGCGCUGGAGCAGCCCAGGGGCGGCGUCGCCACCAAAUAAUGGUGAGGAUGGGAGCGCUGCAGCUGGUUGGUGUCGGGCCUGCAGGGAGUGGCGGCUCUUGGUUGAAGAAAGAAGAAAGCAGGUUAGGGUAGAAUAGAAGAGAUUGUUCGCGGGAGGAAAAAAAAGACCGCGAAAGAGUAAAAUUUUUCCCGCUUUCCGCUUCAGUCUCCCGGGAACGUGGGUUUUCACAGCAAUUGGUUUAGCGACGAACUAUUGGUUGCUAUAAGAUGGUUUUACUGACCCAUCGUGCGUCGUUGUACUGUAAAUGUUUUAGUGACCCACAGUCGGUUAUCACAACAAGAUAUAGCGACCUACUAUUGGUCUAUAAGUUUUAACGACAGACUAUUUGUCGCUAAGAUUGGUCGCUAAAAAUUGACUGUGGUGUAGUGACACUCACUCCUAUGAAAAUAUUUUUUUUCAUAAAGGCGUGAUUUUUAGUCAUUCUGAAAAAACACUUUUUCAAUGAGUUUUGCAACACAUACUUGUACACCCCAAGGAAUGAUGCAACCGACACAAACUUGUCCCACGAUGUUAACGGGCAAUAAAAUGGCAUGUUGCAGGUCAGGCUUGCAGCAACACCAGGAUUGAACUAGAAGUCAACAAUGGUUGAAUAUGCUAGAAUAAACGUUGCCUGGAUAAACUACAGUUCUAGCAUUUUGUGCAGUAGUGUUCAUUUGAGAUUAUAUACGGGUCACGAGUUUUAUGAUUGUGCAUAAUUAUUCAUUGCGUUGAAUAAGAUAGAUCUCACUGUUACCAUAGCAAAUAUUCUUUCGCAUAAAUAAUUUUUACAAAUCAAAAUAAGACUGAAAAAAGGCUGGAGCUCAAGUAUGAAUUUGCAUUGGGAGGGUGCUUUCUGAAGAACAAGUGCACUAUUACUAUAUACAACAAAGAUGAGUACGUCCUACACACUUGGUUAUGCUCUUUCACUAAAGGAUGUGUACUUUUGGUGCCGGUCGUCAUUCUUGGUGUUUAGUGUUGCUCUACAUGGUACCUUCAUCAAGUACCCUUGUAAGAUUUCGAAAUUGUCGAUUAUUGCUCUAUACUUUGUCCGAAUGCAUGUUGAAUUAAGAUUUGUGUAUGCAGCGAUCAUUUAUCGACGUAUAAGGUACCGUCAGAACCAAAUAUAGCUAAACGGGGACCGUUGCAUUACUCUAAAUGGGCAGCCUUGGAGAGGACACGUAGGACCAGCUCUGCAAAUCAGUUCUUCACUUCAAGUGCUGUUAGGUUUAGAGCUUCUUAUUGUUAUGGGCUUCCUUUUAUUAUUGUGUAAAAGUUGAAUUUUCUGUGCGUAAUUCUUGCUAAUUCCUGACAAUCGCUUACAUGCUUGGGUCAUGAACUUGUCUCGCCAUGUCAACCGCCAAGAUGAACUUGUCUCCAGUUGCAGGACAGCAGCCCGCAGCAACCAGAAAUUGGACUGCAAGUCCACAACGGUCGAAUUAAUAGGCUGGAAUAAACAUGGCGCGCAUUUACUAUCGAGUAUAGCUUUAGCAUUUCGUUUUAUGAUAUUGGCAGAGUCGUUUCCGUAUGUAUGUGCGCAUACAUAAAUAUUCGUAGCAUUGAAUAAACAUACGGUAUACUGACAAUAUUCAGGGUGUUGUUCGUCGUCUUUGUCAUGAAAGAUAGUAAAUAUUCAGUUUAUUGUGCGCAUGGUACAUGUUUUUCAAAAUAUUAAUUCAAAAUAUAGGCAGAGAGAUGCAUGGGACUGUAUAUUUUGUACUCAUACAUAAAUAUACAUCGCACCAAAUAAGAUAUCGGGUUUCAUUGUGCUGACAGUAAAUGAAUAUUCCUUCCCGUAAAUAUACUUUACAAAUUAAAAUAAGACUGAAACAACAGGUGCUUUCGAAAUUUAGAGCGAAUCUAGGAAGCAAUUGCACUUUGCAUUACUAACUUGCUUCAAGUACAACCUUCUACUGUUCCACUUCAAUGCACACCAAAGGCAUAGGGAAAAAUUACUAGCCGUCGUUGCAGGCCUGCUCUGUGCAUAAUCCCUGUAGUACUGCACGAACUGCAACUAACAGUGCUCUUAAUACAAAAAGCUGUGUUCUAACUCCAUUCCCGUACGUUGAUCAUCUGAAAGUUAAAGCAUCAAACAAAGCUAUAGCUAUAAUGGGCACACCUAAACAGUGCACAUUUCUCACUGGAGAGAGCAUGUAUGUUUGGCAGAAGUAGCUGGUGUGUUUUUCUGUCCAUAUGCAAAAUACAGUCAUGAAGUGAACAUCAUUUCUACCAAAAAAAAGAGAGUUUCUGUUUUCACUAUUCUCCCCUAGCUCCUGCAAUGGACGUAAACAUCUUUUUUUUCCCAAGCACUGGUACAGGUAUUUGGCAGGAUGGGCAUCACCUGCAGCCUGUCUAGUUCCAUCACAAAAGCAAAAGAGAAAGAGAGAGAACAAAGACACGGCAUGAGGGGCAAAUAAAAAAUAAUUCGCAGUAGCGUUGCUGAAUGCUGAUGGUGUUCUGCUGCCAUGAACAUGGGAGUGAUCUGAGGCCUGAUGGCUUGCCUUGGCGGCAACCACCAUCUAUCACGGCAUGACAGGCGCAGCAGCAGCUGACACACAUGGGCAUGGGCUGGCCGGCAGGGUUGUCCUGCAGCAGCAAGUCAUGGAGCUCAGCUGCCCCCGGCAAACCAAACCGUGGUAGGGAGAUGAAUUUGCUCGCCAAGACAAACAAGCGGCCAUCAUUUCAUUUUGGCACCCUUUGUUUCUUUUCUGUCUGUGGCAUGGCAGCAGCGGUUUGUUUGUGUUUCAUUCUUCUGGGUUGGGUUUCAACUCAGGAGAUGAGGCGAACUGUUCAAAAUUUGCUUCAUUGUGUAUAUCUCGUUCCAAAAAUGAGGCGAACUGUUCCAUACAUUUCUUUUCCAAACUAAGUAUAUCUGAAAAAAUUGUCUGCAUCUUUGCGAAAACAUGAAGCACAUUUGCUAUACCAGAAAGACAUGAAUAUUAUUAAAAAUUAAAAAAGGCAGCUUACAGUCCUACACAAUCAGCACAUCAGAUUCCUUGAAUUAUUUUUUCUCAGUCGAUCAAACAACUCAAAAUUCAAUAUCUUUUAGGAUGAAACCCUGCAGCCUGCCUUCAUUCCGGUUCACCUCGUGAGGAUCUGGAACACCUACCUAUCUUCUCUCACAUGCUCUCCUCUCCCAAAUCCCAAUUCCCACAUGUGCCUUGCCAGUGUGUUUCAGCAAUGCCAUGAUUAAAGAGAUCCCAUGCCUGUCUCUAUUCACCCUCUCUCAGCUCGGAUAAUAGUAGCUAGUGGAGAGGUCUGAUGCUGUGGCCUUGCUAAAUCUUUGUUUGGCUAUUUCCAGCGCUAGCUAGCUAGUGGAGAUCUUUGCUGUAUGACAUGCAGGAGCACCAUGCAUGCAAGAACCCUUUUGCCAUCAAGGGCAGGAUAACAAGGCUGCAAGUAAAGGCAUAGUGCAAAUGCACGCUUGCUAUUGCCAAUGUUUCUGUUUCUGAUGAACCUGACCUUAAAAAAAGAA